UUUUUUUUUUUUGUCACGGUUGUAACUCAACAAACCAACUGUAAAAAUGGUUAUUUUAUCAAUUAAUCAUGCUGGGGGGGCACGGUUUGGUGCUGAAUAAUGGGGUAAAAAACCAUGCUGCGCGCCUGUGCCCGGCUCGAUCGAGCAGCGGUGGCCGCCUGGCCGGCCGGGGGCAUGCUGACGCGACGCGAGCGGCCGGCAAAGGCCACGCUUGGUUCAGUGAUUAGCGAGCGCUCGUGGCCAAACAGUAGACGUGUAUGUGUGUGUAUACAUGGUCGCGGUCGCCAUACAGUGGGACGACAGGUACGUACGUAUAGUCGUCGGUCGAUGGCAACCUCCUAUCUCCUCACAAUAAUUACCUCGGUGCGCCACACGGUUGGUUGAUUGCUUAAAGGAAAUUGCGCGUUGAGAUGUAAAUCCUGUCAGUACUGUAAACGUGGGCCCUGUCGCUGCUAGUGAAAGGAUGCAAAAGUUCAGAAGCCUGUCCACACACCCAACUGGCAACUGCACCUCUAACUGCGUGCCUGGCACUGGCAGUGAAAAUAACAACAGAGAGCAAAUGACAUUGUUCAACUUUCACAAAGAAACAGAAGAUCUUGUAAGACUUGCUUGCUCUUCUUCUUAAAUGAAUGACAGUGCAGUGCUCCUGCAAACUUUUCCAAAAAAAAUCUUAUUUGCAAAAAAAAAAGACUUUCACAAAUCUUGACACGCUUGCACAGCAAGAAAAAAAAAUUCUUCCUUUUCCGUUUCUGUGUGCACCUGCAGGCCCAAUAUCAUACUGAAAAAUGGCUAAAAGGGAUGCACUCUAUGGGCUUUAUUUUGCGCACUUUAAAGCCUAAUAAGAAGUAGCCUGACUGCCUGAGCCCACCGGCCCACACAGAAACUCUCGCCCGACACGACGGCAGCGGCGACCCAGUCGUCGACGAACCAGUAGCGUGCGCUGGAAGGAGCCUCAGCCCACUAAACCAGCCCACACACCGCUUAGUAGGCGUCGCACGAACCGCCCAACCAGGCCACCAGCGCGCUCGCCGGCGACCGACCAUGUCCUCCUCGCAGUCGCCGGAGCCCUCGACGCCGGGGACCCCCACACCGGUCCUCAGCGUCCGCAUCGUCUCCAUCGACUACUACAUGGCGCCGCCCCUCCCCGGCUUCGACUUCUCCCGCAGCCCCUUCCACGGUGCGCUAAACCCCCUGCCCCUUCCCCCCUUGUCCUCUUACUCCUCCUCCCCUUCACCAGCCUAUCUCGCGCUGAAUUCAACUCGUUGCGCGUGUGGAACGCCAGGCGAGGAGGUGGAGGAGGUGCCGGUAAUUAGGAUCUACGGCUCCACCCCAGCGGGGCAGAAGACUUGCCUCCACAUCCACCGGGUGCGUACCAGCCAGCUUCUCUGUCAACGUGCUGCCUGUCUCUGCAUUUUUCUCUGUUCAGAGCUUCUCGGUGCUCGUCAGGCAUCAUAGGGCGUGUGUAGCACAGCUCGGACAUGCGAUUUUUCUGUUUGGGUUUGAAUUUGAAAAUUUGGAGGGAACGUGCUACUGCCUGCUUCUUAAUACAACUGUCGGUGAAUUUUAUUUGUUUAGCUACUGCUGCCUCUGUCUUGAAAUAGUAGUGCAAAUGGACAUCUCUGAAACUAGUUUGCUCUCUGAGACACUAGUUAAUCUUAAGAUUUCUAGCUCAGUAUCCAUGUUCUCUGCCCUCGGUUAAAUUUUCGCUGAAUGGCCACUGCUCUGAAACUCAGGCAGAGAUUCAGUUUGUUCUCCCGAGUUCAUGUCCAUGCUGUAGUUUUAUAUAUUUGAUGGCUGUUGUAUGUUUCCAUUUUUCUUUGCGAUCAAAAUUCCUAGACUGUAGACAUACAGGCAAUUCUUUUCUCGAACAACACAGGAGAGCUGCGUGUCAUUUCAUUAAGAGAGUGUAGACAUACGGACGAUAAUUUGUAUCUGCUUGUCUUGUUCUCAGUUCUCACCCCAUGCAUUUGGAAUCUCUAAUGUGUAAAGUAUACUCCAUUUGUCCACCCACAUUUUCCCUAUGAUUUUGUCUCAGUCUAUUUUAUCAGUCCCUGAUUGUCUCAACUAGUUUGUAAAUAUCUACUCUCUCUUUGGUGUUUAGGUCCUGCCAUAUUUGUAUGUUCCUUGUCCAGAGGAGCUGCUCUAUAAUGUAGACAAAGGUAAUUUUUAGCUUCUUACGUAUGUACCCUGUACAGGUUGGGCUCAAUUAUGCAUUUUAUUGGUUUAUUUCUUUUGUUGCCACUUUCGUUCUGCAUGAUGUGUAUAAAUUUAUUAUACAAGCUACCUGAAACAGCUCUAUCCAUAUGCACGCAAAUUCUUUUUGAGUAGUGUUUAUUGAUUUUUUUUUAUAACUAUGAUUUGCAACAGAAGAGAUCACUUCUUCUGAUUUUUUAAAGAUUAUUAACUUGAAUUUACAAAUGUUAGGUGACUCAGAGGUAGACUAGGCCUUACAGUUGACGUAGCCUGGCUGCCUAUAGAGCGCCUGCUAAUUGUUUACUGGCAAAAAAAGCAACCAUAUCUCGCAAUCAAGUAGCUUCACGCCUGCACGUUUCUUCUAUCAAGAACCUACAUGUUAGUUCUGAUGUGCUGGAGAUUAGCUGCUGCUUGCAGUGUCAAGGAAUGCAAUUCUUGACCAGUCGAAUUAAUACAUUCUUUUCAUCUGUUCUCUAGGUAAUUCAUAUAUAACUGGUCUCUUGAGUGACCUUGAGAAAGCUUUGCAGGUAUUCUGGAGUUCACUUAGUUUAUUAUGUCGUGUACUUUCUAUGUUUGUGUGUAUCAUUGUUUUCUUGCAGAUUCGUGGUCCAUCAAAACGGAAGCAUGUGCAUGGAUGUAGCCUUGUUAGAGCAAAGAAGUUGUACGGCUACCAUGCGUCCGAGGAGCUUUUUGUGAAGAUCUAUCUGUAUCCACUUUUUACUUAUUUUCAUAAAUCCAACACUGCUUCUACAAAUGUGUAUACUAGUCAACAUCACUUGUCAUAUCUUUUUCUAUUCAGUGUCGAGGGAAGUUGGAAAAUUAGAAUAUAUUUUGUCCCACUGUUUCUUACCAAACCAAUUGACUGCUGAAACGCCAAAAUUAGAGUUAAUGCUUUGGUCAUCUGGUCCAGCUUUUGAACUGUAUAAUAAGUGCCUUGCUUGUUUGGACCAAAAUGGUGUCACAUAAAUCUUCUAUUGCUGAUGUGAUUUUGGGGUGUUGCAACUGCAGCCUUAUAGAAUGGUGUUUUUAUUAUAAAACUUCGUUGUGCAAUUGGCUUCCUUGAUUUUGUCUCAAGAUAUUAUCCUCAUGAGGUUUCUCGAGCUGCGACCCUUUUGUUGGUAAGUUGUACAAUGUUGGAAAAUUCAUUUAUUUAUGGAAAGCUAUAUAAGACCAAAGUGAAUGGAUUUCUGUUUCGUUUCCCUUCUUUAGAAAGUACUUGGUUUUACUGUUUUGUAUUUACUGAAGGAGUCAUGCGUGAACAACCUUUACAUAUUAUUGUUCUUUUCGGUUCAUUGGAUCUUUCCCCAUUAGCUACACACUUGCGGAUUUGCAGUUACGCCAUCUGUCCACUUAUAGGGCAGUAGUGAUUAGUGAAACUUGUAUAUUCAUGGUGAACAAUUUCAUGCCAAUGGUCUUCACUAUUUCACCUGAAAGCAUGCCCUUAUUUUGUCCCUAUCUUUUUGUGGUGUGAACUCAUGAAUCUGUUUAACUUUCAUAGUGUGAAGCCAUCAAUUUUGUUCUCCAACAAUCUCAUAUUCCCUUUGAUUUUUACAAGGCAUAUUUCGUUUCAUUAGGACAAGGCUUUAGCCAACAAUUACUCUAUUAAUAUUUCAUUUAUGCGAUGUCAAAUUAUAAUUGUAAGAAGUAUUUUUUAAUUCGUAUCUAAUGCCAUCAAUUUUGUGUCACAAAAGUUAUGCAUUAAUAGAGUGAUUAUUGGUCAAAGGCUUGUCCUAAUGAAACAAAAUAAGCACUGUAAUUUCAAAUGGAGGGAGUACUUGGCUACAUAAGUAUAUGCUGGCAUGGAGGCAAUAUUUCCUCUUGUUCAAAAGUAUUGGCUAAUUAUUAGCUGACAUGCUAGCAUUUUUAUGUGCCUUUCCAUGGAAAACAAAAUCUUAUUUGGAAAAGUUUCCAAAUACUCUUUCAGGCACUGAUUUAUAGCUAUUUAAUUUCAGAGUGGUGCUGUUUUUAAUAGAGCAUUUCAGCCUUAUGAAUCCCACAUUCCAUAUCUUCUUCACUUUUUGGUAAGCACACUGCUUUAUCAUGAAUUGCAAAACAAUACUACCAUUUUACCUAUUUUUUAUAAUUAUGCAAUGAUAUCAUUGCGUGAUGUGAUGCUACAUUUUUGUUUAUUUGGUGGUUGUUUCUGUUGUAUUUUUGUUUUAGAUUGACUACAACUUGUAUGGAAUGGGACAUAUACAUGUCAAAGACUUCAAGUUCCGUCCUCCAUUACCAGAUGAUUUCCAUCCUAAGUCAUCUCUCUGCAAGAAGGUGGACUGUUUUACUGUAUUGGAGCUCAAACAAGCUCUAUAUAUUUGUUUAUGGUGCCGUCUAAUGUUUUUCAUUUGAAUAUUCAUUUCAUUUUUGUUCAAACCUUAUUCAUUGUUUGCACUAAAACUUUGUUUUUUUUCUGGAAUAAAAAUGAUAGACACAAUCAAAUAAUUCGGAACUAAAAAGUCCAACAGUUUGGAUAUCUUCAACAGUGCCACAUUCUUCAAUACUGGGCAGUUCUGCCGCUUCCCAUUGUCUGGGAGGAACCAAAUUGAGCUUCGCUUGUCGACAUAGUUCUUCAAUGCUUGAAGCUGACUCAAGAUUAGAAGGUCUGGUUAUCACAUUCUAGCACUAUUAUUUGGUAUAUUGUUAACUUUCGUUACAAAUUUCAGUUUCACCUUCAGGUAUCCUAAAUGAGAAGUAUAAGAUGUACACUUCUCUUUCUCAAACAACAGAAGAUAUGAAAAUGGUUCAGUCACUUGUAGCAAUUUGGGAGGUGCGUUUUUUUUUUUAAAUUUUGUUUGCGCAUCUGUGCUACGAAAUGUUAAUAACUUUCAAACCUCUAUGUUAUUGUCUUCAGGAACUUGAGCGCUUAAGGCUGUUGGAGGAAACAAAACAUGCUGAUCUGGGUCGACCUUUACGGGAAGAAGUUCUUAAAGAUUUUCUUCAUGGUAUCAAGUAUGAGAGUGCCCUUUCUAUGUUGUUUUCACAAGAAGAGCCACAACGUAAAGUUUCUACCACAGAAGAGUCUGAAAGGCUAGAAAGGUGCUUCAAAUCAUUGACUGAUGUUGUUGGGACUGUUAAAUUCUCACAGGAUGACUACUGUGAUAAUGUUGAUGUUGGUAAUUCUGCUGGCAUGCAAAAUGACAAACCAAAUGCAAGUCUUUGCUCAGGGCUGUUAAAACAAAUUGCGCAGACUAUAUCUCCUGAAAGAAACAGUCAAUAUCUUGUGUCCUCAUCUGUAACCCAAAGAAUAUUAUCUCAGUUGUCUGAUGAGGGUGAAAAGGUAGUCCUCACUCCUCAGAUGUUAUCUCAGUUGUUGAGUCGAUCUGUAUUGUUAGCAAAGGAAAAUCACAUAGUAUACAGGGUUGAACUAAAAAAAUCUAAGGACACGUAAAACAUUUAUAAGUUAAAGAUUUACAACUUAUGGUCACUGUUCCUGGUUCUUGUUGCUCUUGGUCUGGGCAGCCCAGAAGAGUUGCCAAGAAGGUGGGAGAAAUAGAAAGCUAGCUUUGAAACUCAAAAGAACAAGAAGUUUGGAUGUUACAUGAUACAACACUUGAUGGUCAUUUUCUGAUCCUAUAUCAUUCAUCCCCAAUAGCGGUCUUUAAGUUGGCAUGAAAUUUUCAGUUUAUGGAAUCAUGGUAUCUUUUGCAAUUUUUUUUAAUCUGAAUAAGCUUUUGUUAUUUAGUAACCGAACUUCUUUUCUCCUUAAAAUUGUUCUUUUGUAGCAAGUGGAUGCUGAAGCCCUUGGACUUUUAAGCUGGCUGGCCUCCUCACAAGCUGCAGAGGAACCAACAACUGAUGAUGAGUUAGUUAAUGAAGUCAUCCUCAGCCCUUUGUUUGGCAAGAAGUCCAUUGAAGUUGCUUUAGAGUCUGCUCACCUGGAUUUUGAUGGUGCUUCUCAGCAGGAGUGCCAGGAUAUUCUUGAUUCAGUUGAUCCUGUCAGUGCAGCAGAAGAACCAAACACACAUACUUCUUACCUCGACUCUGUAAAGCCUAAUUCUACUACUUCAGUGGGCAACAUUAUUCCUCAGGUUGAUGGGUCGGCUGAUGAGAGCCCAAAAGUCUCCCAAGAAUAUGAAAGGAGCAAGAUCACUAGGAAAACAGUAGGAUCGCCUAGUUACACACCUACUAAGAAUUCUUCAAAAUCAGCUAGUAAGCGUGCAGGAACUGAACAUCUCUGGGGUUCUUUGCCUCUUUCCACAAAAAAAGGGCUGCAUCGAAAUGCUGAUGAUUCAUGCAGUGCAAUGCCCUCACAGAAGGAUUUAAGUGCAUCUAACAAGAGUACCACUGAUAAGAACUAUCAUGAUAUCACAAGCGACGCUGACGGGGAAUCUUCUAGUUUUGUAGGUGUACAUGAUUCAGUCUGUCAUUCUGUGAGGGACUUGAUGAGAAGGAGGAGAUCUUUUCGUCGUGAACAGUUGGAGUUUGGUAGUUCUGGUGCUGCAACAUGCACCAUGGAUAAAGAGAGUGAAAUUGUGAAUUCUGGGGGAUUGGAAUUUCAUGAUUUCGCAAGUGAUAUUCCAAACUCAGCAAUGGCUUAUUCUGACGAUGAAUGUUUACAGAUGACAUUUUCUCAGAAGCCUCCAUUGAAGAACCAUGUACAUUCUAGUUUGGAGAGUCCUUCAGGCUGUGAGCAACGAGAAUGUAAGUGCCCCCAACAAAUCUUUAUGUUGUCACGAUGAAUAUGAUGUAGUUUUAAACAGGAGUAAUAUGGAUUGUAGACUUGGUAUGCUAGACCUCAAGCACUGCUCUUAUUCUUACCCAUAUAAUUUGCAGAAAUAAUUGUGUUGGACUUUAAUGCCUAUGGUAUGAUUACUUAUUUACACAGCAUUUUAGGUAUUAAGUCUUAGGCCUCUAGGUCCUGGUUCUCUAGGUAACUAAGUAUUGUUUCCCCUUGGAAGCAGUUUGGACUGUCAACCAAAUCAAAUGGGAUGCCCAUUUUGCAUGUGCCAUUAAAAAAGUCUAUUAUUAUAUGUUUUCAGUUAGCCUAUUAUGCUUAUAUCUUUUUUUUUCUGCUUCUUGAAGUCUCAUUCCUUUUCACUUGGAUUUAGUUCCCCCAAGAAAGUUUAUCCAUACAGAAUUGCCUCUGCUCCAUCGCUCCCUACCCUUCUAUCUACCUAUUGUUUCUUUUAUCAGUUUUCUUUCCACAGUUGCUCAGGAUAUCAGUUCUCGAUAUUUCUUCAUGCUUCAUAGUUCAUACAUUUCUUUUUUUCAUAACAUUUGGCUUGUACCUUUGCUCUACAGUCUGCAGUCGUAUCCUGUACUCCUGUUUAUCAAUCUGUGACAUCACCUGAGGCUUGUUGUUCUACCACAACAUAAUCUGUCUUGGAACCGCUAUCGUCCCUCAUACUAUAAUGCCAUAAGCCACACUUUUUUGAUCCAUAAAUUUAUACACAUUUUCUUCUGCUUUUCUUUUUCAGCUGCUAAAGGGUUAGCUGAUCUCCUUCCAUUUUUCAAUCAGAAUAUAGAGGACAAUAAGCAGAAUGAAUUGUUUCAGCAUAUGGAAAGCGGUGGGUUUGCAGGUGGUGUCAUGGGUGUCCCAACUCAUUUCCAAAAUGACGGAUCAGCCCUAUAUUUGCUGACACAUGCACGUUCGCCACCAUCUGCAGUAGCUGUGGGCGAAUGGCUAACCCAACAAUCUCGUUCCAAUAUUUCCUCUGGUAUUCGAGAUUUCCUGCAUAUUUUUGUUUUCAUACUGUGGCACAAGAAAUUUCUUGUAAAAAUUAAUUUCAUUUGUGCCUGUAUGUGUUUCAGUUUCAGGUUACCCCAACUAUGGUGAGGGAGUCCCAGCUGACAAGGAAGAGGCGCACAGUUCUGCUUUAUCACCAAAUUCUCCUUCCAGAUCUACUUUGGAGAAUUCCUUAGUGAAAGUUGCUGUGGAUGGAGAUGUGAUGGAAUCAACUUUAUCUAACAGAGAAAGUAAACAUUUGGACGAGUGGCAUGCCUUUUCCCAGAUAUCAGCUGGAAAUGAGAAGGAUAAGCUCACACCUCUCAGUCAAAUAGGAUUUCGUGACCCUGCUAGUAUCGGUUGUGGGCAACAACUGACUAUGCUUAGCAUGGAGGUUCUACUUCUACUUCAUUCUUCUUCUCUUUUGUUCCCAAUAAAUAUAUUUUUUUCUGCAUUCAUCCAUAGAUGUAGUGGGAUAAUUUGUUGUUCUCGGACCAACCAUUAAGAUUCUUGCUAAUGACAAAGUUUGACUUGCUAAUGACUAAAGGACAAGCUUAUCAGUCAUAAAUUUUUGACUUGCCAAUGACUAACAGACAAAUCCUAGAUAGAAGUCUUUUAAAUGCUUGGGAUACCAGCAAAAGUAGAAUGUACCUCUUGAAUCUUGAUAUUUAGCUUCUUUUCCCUGCUAAACAGGUUUUAGCAGAAAGCAGAGGAGAGCUGCGUCCUGAUCCACGGUUUGAUGCCAUCAAUGCUGUAUCUUUGGCCACUGAGGAUGAUGCUGAUAAUACUGUUGAAGUUCAUGUGUUUAUACGUGACAACAGUGACAUAUCACGCAGGAGGAGGUCUAAAGCCACUUGAUAUUUAAUCUUGUUCAUUUUGCAAUCAUCACACUUAGCUCUCUUAGAUUUUGUAGAAAUCUACAAUGGCCUCAAAGCUUCCCUUAAUCAACACCUACUAUCUAUCUUCAAUUGCAGAAAAAAAUUCUAAAUUUACAAUAUCAAUUAACUGGAGGUUUCCAGGCAGUUACCAGUCAACCCUGCUAAGUGUCUGAUUCCCUUUGAAUUAUAGACAAGUGAGAUAUAUAUGACGUAUCGACUGACUAGGAUGGUGGCAAUGGCAACUGAUGCUUCAUUUCACGAAAAUAUGUUGCCUUGCAUAACUAAGUUACUAAGGAUCUAUUGUAGAAUUGAUUUGUUCAACCAGAAACUUUGGGUGCUUGCUUGUGCUGGCUUGUGAUAUUUGCUUAUCUUUCUUAGAUGCUUUAAUUCUUAUAGAUUCAAACAUCACGCGCUUCUUUCUUUUAUAUGCAGAAAUCUGGAUGGUAUUGCUGGCUGUAAUGUAGACGUCUUCCCUGAAGAGAGGGACCUUCUGAACAAUCUUAUUAGUGCAGUCUGUUCAAUUGAUCCAGAUAUCCUAGUCGGAUGGGAGAUUCAGUUAGGAUCUUUAGGAUUUCUAGCUGAAAGAGCUGCUUAUCUGGGUAUAGGCUUACUGAAAAGGAUUUCAAGAACACUACCGCAUGAGCUGAAUCAUCCACGUAAAGUUCCAGUUGAUGACUCUAGUCAGAUGCUUGCUGAAGCAUCUUCUGCUGAUGAUGUUGGUGAAGUCAGUGAGAAUAACUGGAGUCAUACUCAUGCGAGUGGUAUACAUGCUGUUGGAAGAAUUGUUCUUAAUUUAUGGCGUCUCAUGCGUGCAGAAGUUAAGCUUAAUAAUUACUCCCUUGAAGCUGUAGCUGAUGAAGUACUGAGGAGAAAGAUACCACUGAUACCAAACGGGAUAUUGAACCGAUGGUUUGCAACAGGUCCUGGACGAGGAAGACACCGUUGCAUAGAAUAUAUUAGCACUAGAGCUAGAAUUAACCUUGAAAUAAUGAAUCAACUGGACCUGGUAAAUUGAAUUUCCUCCACGAUAUUCUUCCUAGUAUAUUGUCAACUUUGUUUUUUUUUCAGACUUCCCUUGUUUGUUCAGUUCAGAUAUUUUAUCAGCUAAGCAACUUGUCCUUUUGAUUUUCUACUUCUUUUAUCAUUUGAACAACUUGGUUCUAUUUACAUGUCCUGAAUAAGCUAUGGACUUUUUUUUUUCCUGAUAGAACAUUACAAUCAUGAUGAUCAUCCUAUUGUUACUUGUCCUGGCAUGCAGGUGAAUCGAACAUCUGAACUUGCUCGUGUAUUUGGUAUUGACUUCUUUUCUGUUCUUUCUCGGGGAUCUCAGUAUCGUGUUGAAUCUAUGCUCCUGAGAUUGGCUCAUACACAGAACUACCUUGCAAUUUCGCCCGGUAAUCAACAGGUGCAUUUUUCUGCCACCUGCCAAUUUUAGUUGUUCAUUUUUUUUGCUGCAAAUAUACUGUAGUUGCUCAUUACCCAAUUCUGAACCUCCAAUGUUAGAACAACAUAUCUUGUUCAUUUUGAAAUUCUACUGAUGAGCAUAUAUUGCAUGAAUUUUUUGCCAAAGAUGGCCAUUUUUUUUUGUAGGGAUCCUAAGAUGUGGCGUUAUGUAAGUAGCUAGAAAUGGGCUCAUCGAUUUCUUUAGAACUACAGGCUGGCCAUUCACAACCUCAGUUGAACCACAAAAAUAGUAUAUGUUUUCUGCUAAACUGUUACUAAUGCUAAUUUGCAGGUUGCUUCUCAACCAGCCAUGGAGUGCCUGCCGCUUGUAAUGGAACCAGAAUCAGCCUUCUACCCUGAUCCAGUUGUUGUACUGGAUUUUCAGUCCCUCUAUCCUUCCAUGAUAAUAGCAUAUAACCUAUGUUAUUCUACAUGCUUGGGUAAAGUUUUCCCAUCAAAGUCAAACGUACUUGGUGUCAGCUCAUAUUCAGCAGAUCCGCAUACACUUGUAGAUCUGAAAAAUCAGCUGCUGCUUACCCCAAAUGGGGUCCUGUACGUGCAACCUGAGGUGAUAUUCUUAAUUUCUGAGCAAUAUCUGAUGUUCUUCAUAUUGGUAAUGGCAAAUUUGAAACAUUCCAUAGAUAAUUGUUCAUAUACGACAGUUUACCUGAAUACCUCUAUGGUCGGUAGAUCAACCUGUCUGAUUGUCCUUUGCUACCAUCCAGAUGAAUUAUUGGAUAUAUUCUUGAAAAUUUUGUUUUCAAUUACAUGUUUAGUGAUUCCUGGUACAUUCACUGCACUGCACAUUAUAUUUCCCUAGUAACUAUUGACCUUUCCAGAACAAUCUUAAUGGUACUCUGCAGAUAAGAAAAGGCGUGCUUCCUCGCCUUCUAGAGGAAAUAUUGUCAACGAGAAUUAUGGUGAAACAAGCAAUGAAAAAGUUGGGUCCAUCCGAGCAAGUUCUGCACAGGGUAUUCACUUCUUGUAAACCAUUUUUCAAACAUUAGGUGAAAUGCCUAAAUAUCUUGCGGAUAUGGUGAUUGUACUAUGAUACAAUAGUCAUUUGCUUAGGCUGUCCUCAUGUUGCUUUCCCUUUUGCAAUUUUUAUUUUCAGUAAAAGGGUUUUCUUACCAUUGGUGGAUACAUUACAAAUAAUUAAUUUGUUUCCAGAUAUUCAAUGCACGGCAGCUUGCAUUGAAGCUGAUAGCUAAUGUAACAUAUGGCUACACAGCUGCUGGCUUCAGUGGUCGGAUGCCUUGUGCAGAGCUUGCAGACAGCAUUGUUCAAUGUGGUCGUAGAACGCUUGAAACAGCAAUAUCAUUUGUCAACCAGCAUCCUUUGUGGAAAGCUAGGGUUGUGUAUGGUGAUACUGACAGGUAUUAUUGUGUUUCAUGUUUUCUCUAUAAAGUACAAUGUAGCCAUAGUAUACUUAUACCACUGUUUCUGUUGCAGUAUGUUUGUUCUUCUAAAAGGGCGUUCUAGGGAAGAAGCAUUCAGAAUAGGAAAGGAGAUUGCUUCAUCUAUAACUGCGAUGAAUCCUGAUCCAGUCACAUUGAAGUUCGAGAAAGUCUAUCAGCCAUGCUUUCUUCUUACAAAGAAGAGAUAUGUUGGCUAUAGCUACGAGAGUCCUGAACAGAAUGAGCCAAUCUUUGAUGCAAAGGGGAUAGAAACAGUUAGGAGAGAUACUUGCCCAGCAGUUGCAAAGAUUUUGGAACAGUCUAUCAGAAUAAUGUUUGAGGAACAGGACUUAACCAAAGUAAGUAGUAUUUUCCUUCUUGCAACAAUUACUCAAUCUCCUCUUUAUAAGGACCAUUUUCCUUCUUUUUAUUGUUGUUUUUGUUAAGCGUAUAGCUUGAUGGUCUUCAACCAUUGCAGGUCAGGUCAUAUUUGGAGCGUCAGUGGACACGACUAUUAUCAGGGAAAGUUUCUAUCCGAGACUUCAUUUUUGCAAAGGAGGUCCGUUUAGGUACCUACAGUGCAAGGGCAUCCACUCUGCCACCUGCAGCAAUUGUUGCAACAAAAGCUAUGUUGUCUGAUCCAAGGGCGGAGCCUCGGUAUGCAGAGAGAGUGCCAUAUGUUGUAAUCCAUGGGGAACCAGGGGCUCGUCUCGCCGACAUGGUUAUUGAUCCUUAUGGUCUCCUAGAAGUUGGAUCUCCUUAUAGAUUAAAUGAACUAUAUUACAUAACCAAGCAGAUUAUCCCAGCACUACAACGUGUUUUUGGACUCCUUGGUGCCGACCUGAAUAAUUGGUUUAGUGAAAUGCCUCGCCCCAUACGACCAACUCUUGCUAAACGGCAGUCUGCUUCUGGUCAUGGUUUAUUUUCUCGUGAUGGCAGAUUCAUCUGGUUAGGAUUGAAUAAUAAAGCCUCCAGCAAGGGAGGCAGAAUAGAUACAUACUACAUGUCAAGCCACUGUUCAAUUUGUGGUGAUCUAAUUCAAGGAUCAGAGACCUUCUGCGAAAAUUGCUUGAAAAAUGAAGCUGUUGUUGCCACAGUAGUUGCUGGUCGAACUUCAAAGUUGGAGCGAGAAAUCCAACAUCUUGCUGCUGUAAGUCUGUAAUGCGUGGUUAUUAUGUCAAACAUACUUGUGUGGUUUACCUCACAUUUACAGAUUUACUCCACUCAACAAAAAAGCUAGAGAAUCUUGAGUUCAAACUGACUUUACAUGCUAAGCAAAAUAGUAUCAUUGGAUGAAAUACUGUUUCAUUAGCAUUUACAUUCUGUAAUGGCAACUUACUAGUCAAUUGAUUCCUAACAGUUAUGUGCAACAAGAACUUAAUGUCAAUAUUUGAUGUUUAAUCUUUUUUGGGCAUAACAAACACAUAUAGUUUUGAUCUGAGCUGCUUAAGAUGAACUUUGUCCAGAUAUGUGGGCACUGUGGCGGCGCAGACUGGAUUGUUGAAAGUGGGGUCAAGUGCAUUUCCCUUGCAUGCCCAGUCUUAUAUGAACGGAGGAAAAUUCAGAGGGAGCUGAGAGUUGUCUCAGAAUCAGCGGGAGAAGCUGGGUAUUAUCCUUUUUGCUGUGCUGAACUUUUUUGACCAAGAACAUUUUUGGGGUUGCGUCGUCUUCUAUGUUCAUACCGUGCAAAUUGUGAAAUUUGUAGCUUGUACGUUACACUUGUGUAUAGUUGCUGCUGCUGUUCUUCUUGUUGUUGUAACAAUGUACAUGUAUUGAGGAAAUAGAUACAAAGGAUAUGUAAUGAACGAGCUCUACUUAAAGGGGCACGUGUACCACAUAGAUUGCUGCAGACCUGUUUUUGGGUUCAGUAUGUUGUUGGUGUAGCAUUAUUGUACAACAUGUAUCGAGGAAAGAGAGAUAUAAUGAACGAGCCACGUUUGAAGGGAGAUAUGUGCCACGCAGUUUGCUGCUGACCGGCUGUUGGGUUCAGUACUUGUUCGGCGUGUUGACGCCCCUGGCUUAAAGCGGACCGAUAACACGGAACUCUCAAGAUUGUUGUGUGUUGCGAAAAUCUGAUCCAAGUUGCACGCGGCGCUACAGGCUUCCCGGGGAUCGACUUCAUCCUUGCCAGUUGUCACGGUGAGUCGGUGACAUCAUCAACCAUUUCUUCACUUACAACGUCUCUCUCUCACUCAUGCAUACAGAGGUUGUGAUCGAUCACAACAGACAAUCAAGCUGACUAUGUUAAUUUCCAAAAUUAGCUUUACCCAACUUUUGUUUGAAAUUAAUUUGUGCGGCCGGCCGGCUAGAUUUAAAGACAGGUAGACAUGCUGACAUGCACAAUAUCUUAAAGGCCUCGUUUGGAUGCAAAGAAUCUGGAUUUUGAGUGGAAGCUAGUCCGCUCCGGAUUCCGGGAUUCUGAGAAUCCAUAAUCUAGCUUCAUAAAAUUCGAGGCAGAAUCUAUCCUGUUUGGAAGCUGAUCAGAUUUUGAAUUUUGGAUUCUCAAAAUCUCUGUUCAUCCAAACGGGCCCAAAGACGUGUCAAAGCCAGACCAGAGUGCCACGGAACCUGCGCAUUAACAGCAAGCAGCAGCCCACGCACCGCAUGGCCGAAGCCGAAGCCGAACGCAUGACGCGCGCAUGCAUGCACCGCGAGCGCAAGUGCUGGUGGGAUCUGUCGGCUUGCCCAACCGAAACCGGGAACCGCCAGCGCCAUUACAGCCCAGGCGCAGGGCCUGCAGCGCGGCAGCCCUCGCCGUCUCCAUGGCUGCACGCGACGCGACGACGACGUCUGUAGCUGAUGAUGACCGACGACACACGGUGCACCAAGGGAGAGCGGACUUGCUUCUUCGCCUCCGAUCGAUCCGCGUGCCUGCCGGCCAGCUUCUUGUCCCGGCCUGCGGCCGUGGGUGCUGCCGCGCGAUUUCACGAUCGAUCUGCUAGCUGUUUCACUUCACACGAACGCUAGCGCUUUCACGGCAUCUGCGGCUUCAGUGAAUCAGUUCACAGAUUUUUUUUUUAUUUUUUUUAUCAAAGCUAGAGAUGGAUCCGAAACGUAACACAGCUUUCGGCUAGCAAGUUACGAUCUUUUCUUCUUCCCUUUUGAGCUAUUAGAUCGGCAAGGCAAGUUAGCUCGCAGUGUCGGAUAAGCAAUAAUGCAAGCAGUGCCAUCGAUCUCUUGUAAUAUACUGCACACGCAGUACAUGGGGUUUAUACGUGUCACUGUUCAUGUGUAAAGCAGCGUAUUUUAGCAAUAAUCAUGGAGGGCAGUUUGUUUGUCUGGGAUGGAAAUUAAAGUAUCUUUGUUAGGGCACAGCCAACGUGGCAAGGUGCCUGCACACGGGUAUUCUGAAACAACAAUCCGACGUGGAUAUGACACGAACUAUGUGGCAGUGCUUUAUUACUUUUCCAUGCACGAUGCUGUUAUAUGCAUGGAACUAAAAUGAAUACAAUAUUUUCAUUUAACUAGAACUAGAAUGAUUGGGUUCAUCACAUGAUUUAACCGCUCGCGCUCACAAUCGAUUAAGGAUAUACAAAAAAAAGUGGUAACAUUAUAUCAUAUAUCUUGAGGAAUAAGUAUCAACUAUAUUUAAGCCUAUAUCACGAGUAGACACUUUUUUCAAUGGUAUGAUAUUACAACAACAAUAGCUAUGAUACCAAGAGGUGCAAGUAAUUGUUUUUUGCCCACAGGAUUGAGCAUGCUACUAAUUUACAGUAGCACUAUAGUUUACUGCAAUAGUACUAUACGGCAGUUGGCACCGCAAAAUGCGCUUGCGAAAGUUAUCAACACGCAAACUGUAUAUUUUAUCGAUUACGACAAGCGUACGCACGUCAGUGUGGUCGCGGCAUGGAUAUCUUGCUGCCAGUCCGUGGCUAUAAAUGGUGCCGGCUGAACCGUUCCCUGUAUUAUUGCGACUACACUAGCUUACUCUCUUAUUUACGAUUUCAGUUUUUAACUUCUUGUUGUUUAAUUUUGCUCCUCCCUGUAUCAUGUCCUUGAGUCCAUCCGUUGCAUAUGCACUGUGUUUAAGUGUAGCAUAUGCACUGUGUUUCGGGGGGGAAAAAUAAGAACACCACAUCACAUAUAUCAUGCCAAAUUACAUAAAUUUACUGCAGGCUCACCCUGCACAAAGUGCCACACGGUAUUCACUUCAAAAGAAGAGUGCCACACGGUAUUCACUUCAAAAGAAGAGUUCCACGCGGUAUACCAUACCACAUCUCCAUGAUCCAUCCUAUCACAUUGGCAUGGGACAAAUUUCUCCUACGUGGCCACCCUCUACCCCACCAUUAGUGACCUGGAAAUACAGUCUCUUAGACAAAGUCUCUUGAGAGAAGGUUGUAGAAUGCAGAAGCAUAUACAUGUCACUUGACAUAUCCAGCCACCAAAAAGUUUACAACAUCUUCAAGCUACACGGGUACAAGACAACAGCCCCACUGGCAAGACCCCAAGCACCGAAACUGAUGAUCCCCUAUAAAUACAGACAUCGGGGCCUAAAAAUUUCCAUGCACACAAAUAAAUCACUUGACAUAUACACAUCACACACACAUUACACCUACCAUAGUAGUAGAAAGUAGAAUCACAAGGGUCUCACCAUUCCAAGAAACCACACCAAGUAGCCAUCACUCGAAGCCCAAGUAGUGCACUAGCUAGGUACUUAGAUAGCGUGUGUUAGUAUAAGAGGAAGGAAUUGUUGAUGGAUGACAUAUCCUCCAUGGCUACGGGUAGGUACCGACGGUGGGCGGCGGCGAGCUGUGGCGCCGACCCGAGCGACCCCACGACAUGGUACGCGUGGGCGCACCGCGGCCACCGUCUCUGGGCGGCCAUGCCGGACGCCUUCUGGAUCUACAUGUACAAGGUCCACCGGUGUCCGCAGCUGAGCAGCCACGACUGGACGAGGUGCCCGUACGCGCACAACGGGGAGCGCGCCCGGCGGCGCAACCCGCGCCGCUUCUCCUACCUCGCCGUCACCUGCCCGGCGUUCCGCGAGUCGCAGCAGCACCAGCACCUGGCCCGGACGGGGGCGGCGGCGUCGUGCAUGCACGGGCUCCAGUGCCGCUACGCGCACGGCGUGUUCGAGCUGUGGCUGCACCCGGCGCGCUUCCGCACCACCAUGUGCCAGGGCGGCUUGGCGUGCCCGCGCCGGGUCUGCUUCUUCGCGCACUUCCCGGCAGAGCUAAGGGCCGAGAACGACCCCGUGCCGCUCGCCGGCCUCCCGCCGCUGCCGCCGCUCCGCGUCCCGCCGGCGCCUGAGCCCCUCUCGUUCCCGCGCCGAGUGGACCUCGCCAUGCAGGCCAUGCUGGGCAAGGUCCGCCUGUACGACGGCGAUGACGCCUCUUCGUCAUCACCAACUGCUCCUGCUGUCGCCGCUGUUGCCACGGCGACGCCGGUGCUGGCGCUGCCGCUGGCAUCGGUGCCGGACGACGACGAGGAUCCCGCCGCCGGCAAGCACGGCUCCGUUUACGGCGACUACCCGCAUUUCGACCUCAUCAGGGACAUGGUUGAUGACGAUGAGCGAGAAAGCUAGGUGAGAAAGUGGUAACAACCGGACGAGAGUCCGUGCAUGCGUCCAUCUACGUUUUAGCGUUUCUGUCUGAUGCUUACACUUCACAUGUCAUCAGCGCAGUGCAUGGCGUCCAAGCGUGCGUCCAAGCGCAGUGCAUGCGCCAGGUGGAGGGAGGUGCUCUGGACUGUAUAGAUCUCUCUGUCACUGCAGUUAUAGCCUAUAGGCUGUGUAAUUACUUGAUAUGAAUUGUUUAUAAAAUUAACUUCCUAUGUAAUUAUGUGGACGUUUAUGCACUUGACAAGCGAAUGAUUUGUAAAUUCACCAAUAUUAUCGUAGUGAGUAUAAACUCACGUUUUCUUGGGUUAUUUCUUUGGAUUGCGUUUGGUGUGUGCUUAUAUGUACCAGAUUAUAAUCGGAUCAACGAUGAGAUGCACGAUGCACAAGUGUUAACCAAAUUCAGUUUGAUACUGCUUCGGAUAAACACCAGGACUCGAUCCUGGUAGCCCUGACAAGUUACAACCAAUUAUUUCGGUUCCACAUCCACUGUACAGAGAACAGAGGUCACGGCAUGGAACCACAACGUUUUCCCGUGGCGAGGAUGGCUGCGCAUUCCGAGGGUGCGCGCUUGUGCUUAUUCCUGCUAUGGACAUGGCACCACCUGCUACAGAGCAGACUGGAACAGCAUCUCGGCCAGCUCCUGCACCAGGAAAGCACAAGAUAAUACAGUUAGCAACCAUCAUCCCGGAGCUACUUGUAUUCUUACUACGACUCUGUGGUGUGCCGAGGACGCCUGGAUUGUCAUUCCAAUUUUACCUGCUUGCCGGAUGGAACAGUGGGUUCACCCCACUCCAGAACCUUCUUUUCUAGCGUCUCAAAGUCUCCUUUCCCGGCCUGUUCGAAGCCAUGCAACAAAGUUACAACCUUCAAUUUCAACCCUUCCAGGGUAAGAAAUCAAACCCUCAACUUGUAAAGUGGUGUACCUCGAUCAAGGCGCCAAUUUCGCUGUCAAAGCUCUGGUAGCGCUUGCGGACAAGCUCAUCCAAGGAACCAUCCUGACAACACAAGACAAAAAAAUUUAAUUCAGAAACCUGCAUAUGAAAAAUGUAGCAGGUCAUAACGUUUUCAGUCACCUCAAUUAGCUUGGCGACGUUGCGGAGGCCACGGGCCAGGGUAUCCAUUCCUGAUAUAUGAGCAAUAAAUAUGUCCUCAACAUCAGUACUUUCCCUCCGCCUGUCAUCAUAAAAGAAUUACAAUUAAUUUCACUUGAAUUAGAGAUCAGUUUACAGGAAAAAAAACAAUGAAAAUAUGCACUAACAAUUUGGCAUCAAAGUUGAAUCCACCAGGCGCAAGCCCCCCCUGUUGACAAAACGAGAUGCAUCAAACUCAUAGUGACAUGUUAAUGUUAAAAGGAAACCAAAACAGGUAGUCCACAGGCAACUUCUGAUCUGAGUACAAGUGAGAGAGCCGAUUCAUGCCACUCACAUUCUUAACUACACUUGACAUAACCAAAGUAGCCUCAGCAAUGUCUGUCAUGAACUGAUCUGUGUCCCAACCUGUACAUAAGGAAAAGGUAAAGUUACUAUAUAUGUAUGCCUCAAAUUUUCUUUUCUUUUCUUUCUAAAAAAUAUGCUUGUAUGCUCCCAGUGUAACACAACGGAGAAUAUUGGGUCAGAUUCUUAUCAAUCAAACAAAGGAGUUACAAACAACACUGAAACAUACCGACUUGUGGAUCACCAGUGUUUGCAUCGAUAUUUCCAAGCAGCCCAUUAAUCCGUGCAGUCUCCAGUUCAUGAUGGCAGCUGCAAGUUUAAAAUGCAGUUAUGAUAAUAUCACUUUAACCUAUUAUUCGACUGAAGCUACGCAAGGAAAAAAAGUUACCUAUGUCCAGAUAGAGUAGCAUGGUUGCACUCAACAUUAAUCUUGAACUCUCCUGUGUCAUAAAGUGAUAGAGUACCAUGGAUGCUUUCAGAUAACUUUCAGAACAGAUAGUUAAACUCAGACAAGCUUGACUUGCUGAGAAGUGGUGUCAAUGUAAUGAUUUUUCAGAAAAUAUUGAAAUAUUUGGUUUGAUGCUAAUGAAUUUUUCAACCAACAGCUCAAACAUUUUAUAAAUUCAGCAGGUACUGACAUGCAGAUGAAUGUUACCUGUAAGACCAUACUUCUGUAGAAAAGCGAAUGCAGUUGCAACAUCCCAGUCAUACCUGCCAGAGGAAAACAAGGAUCAGUGCUUCUGAGCCCUGCAGAUAUUUCGCUAAUCCUCUAAGUGACAAUCUUACUGGUGCUUUGUUGGUUCCUGGGGUUUAGGCUCUAUCAACAAUGUUCCUGAAAUAACAAAACCUCAGUUCUAUCGCCAAAUUGUCAUGGUGAAAACAAUGUACAAUGUCAAAGUUAGGGGAAUUGGCACAUGUAAAUCGUAAAGCAAUGGGACUGAAUUACCGUUAAAUCCGAUCUUCUUCUUGUAGUCAACAGCAGCUUGAAGAAAGGUAGCCUGGAAAAAUCCAGCAAAUGAGCAAAUGAUUCGAGCCAAAAAGUAAAGCAGAAACACAAACGAGUCAGCAAGAUAGGUCCCACUCAUACCAGAUGGUCAAGUUCUCUCUUCAUGUCAGUGUUCAGAAGAGUUUGGUAACCCUCUCUUCCACCCCAAAACACGUAGUUUUCACCACCUAGGUAGUGAGUGACCUGUAAAGAGAAAAGGUUCAAUCAAGAAUCGGCCUAAAUGAAGGAAGAUCGAUACCGAUGGUCAGAGAUAACCAACCUCCAAAGCUUUCUUAACUUGUGCAGCUGCAUAAGCAUAUACUUUAACCUCUGGGCUGCAACAUUAUUGAAGACUUCUCUUAAUCUCAAGUCAUCUCUGAGUCCAUAACUUUGCCUAACGCUCACAAAAAAAAAACAAGAAUCCAAGAUACCAACCUAGUAGCAGCUCCAUGCAUGUAACGUGGAUGCAUAAAGAGCUGUGCGGUUCCCCACAAUGGCUUGAUAUUGGUCUCACCCUAAUUGUAGUUCAGAUGAAACAGAAAAUUGAGCAAACAGGGCAAUGCAAAACACUGUCGUACAGCUGAGCUCUGGCAAUUUAAGGUUACACUAACCUGGAGCUGCUUUGCCAGCUCAACAAUCUCGUCCAAGUUAGCAUUUGUUUCCUGCAAUGUUAAAUAACAGUAUUAGGAAAUUUCUGACAGCCAUGUAGCACCCACCCCCACAGAAAUUCUAUUAGUAAACCAAAGUCGUCAACUGUUUACGACAGUUCAUCUUAACAUUUACUUAACAUGGUAACACCAGAAGAUUCUCUAUUGGUAAAAUUAUGUUCAGUUCCAAGUUCAAACAAAUUGGAUCUCUUGCUAUACCUAGAUGGUUGGGUACUUGGGUGUUAAUGAAAUAGAUGAUCAAAAUAAAUCCUUAUUUUAGUUAGGGCAAGGACAAGAUAACCGAUAGCAUCCCACAAUAACUCGACAAUGAUACCCUUAACGACCAAAUCAAUUGUAAAUUGUAAGUCUGCAUCUUAAAAAACAGAAUCCUAGGUAACUCUACCAAGGCAUUUGAAAAACAACUGGAGGACCCAACCAAUUGUAAGGUCGCAUCUUAAAAAUUACCAGACUACUUCGAUUAUAAUUUGACUUCAUGUUGAAAACAACGCAACAUGAUUGAACGACAUACUUCGAGGGUUUUGCCAUCCGGGGCAAUAUCUCUGUCAUGGAAGCACCAUUUGUCAACUCCCAGCUUCUCCAUGAAUUCAAAGUGAGCUCUCACUGCAAUACCGGUUCAACCAGACGUUAGUCCCAACAAACGAAUUGAAACGUAACCUGGAAGGCUGCAACCAAACACAAAGUCAGGUGAUUAUCAUACUUCUUCUCUUAGCCAUGGCCAAUGAAUUUGUACCGUCCUCCCAAGGCCAAGCCUUUGUAGGGGCACCAAAAGGAUCAGCACCGGUACCACGGAAUGUGUGCCAAAAGGCAACACUGAACCGCAUCCAAUCCUAAUGGCAGGAAAAAAAACACUAUGUAAGUUGACUUAAUCUAUACUCCUUAGACAGUGUAAAAGUUGACCUUGCACUCUGAUGGGGAAAUACUGAAAAUGGGUAUAGCCAAAAGAUAGAGACCACAGAUCAUACCUUCAUCUUCUUCCCGAGAAUCACUUCCUCUGCAUUAUACCACUUAUAAGCAAGAGGGUUCUUGCUGGUUGGACCCUGCAGCGCAAAGGUUGAAGGACAAUGGUUUAAUUCACAAUCACAUCAAUCCAUUGCCAUCACAUCAGAAUUGAGACAAGAGUCUGAAAACUCCGAAUUUUCACAGCCUCACCUCAUACUUGAUUUUUGGGAUGCCAGGAAAGAACUCCCCCUCCCAAUCACCUGAAGCGCCAUCCUCGCAUUUGCUAUCAAGGUCAGCAGGGCAAGUUUGCUGUGCGGCAAUCUGAAACGAAAAGGAUGGAACCAAAAAAUUAGAAGCACAUUGUCCACGAAUAUAACCAUCAUGGUUAAGAUCAGCAGCAGCUCACCACAGCAGAUAGGCACAAACAUGACGCCAGCAGUAAUAGUAGCAAAAGCUUCGAGCCCUUCAUGCCGGGCUUGGCUUAUAGAUGAGGAAAUGCCUCUGGAAAGCAUAAUCGACCACGGAUUAGUAGGAGAGCAGACAAAUCCUACCCGCAGGAGUGAAUAUUUUAAUGGCUCAUUAAUUGCCUCUAAAUUUCAGACUCUGCAACUAAGAAUCAAAGAGGCCACAGGAUUCGGAAGACUUGAAACGCAUGGGAACCAUAUUCAACGCGAGUAGGAGGAGGCAAGCCGAACCUGAUGGAUCCCCAGUCCACUCCACUCGGUCUCGGAUAAGAACGAUGAGGAGGACGCCGACGACGAGUGAGGAAGAAGAGAGCUGCAGAUGCGGUGGACGGAGGGGAGGGGAGUGGCCGGCGAACUUGCUGGGCUGAACAACCCCAACACAGUAUAAAAGAACAGAGAGAUGCCGGGGGCAUUUUGGGCAUACGACUCCAAACAUUGGAUAGGACAUCGGAAAAUUUUGAGAAGGACUUUGUACAUAUAUUUUUUUUUGUUUACGAUGUCUUUUUUCGGAAUAAAAUCGAUAAGUACAGGAAUGUUUAUCUUUACCGUGGCUUUAUACAAAUUUUGUUUAAUUUUUGAAACCCAGGUGCUAUGUUUCUGCCGCGUUUGUGGCUGGUGCGGCCGCUUCGGUUGGGCGAUGCGUUGUUCAGCUUGAGAUCCACUUCGUAAAAUUCGGGCAGUAGGUAAGCAGGGUGGCCUGUUUGUUUGCCGAUCUCACUUGACCAAAGGUUCAUCUUAUCCGUUCGUUCCACGGCGAGUUUAGGAUGGACACGGCACGGGGAGACGGGACGGAGGUGUUUUGUGCCGCCGAGGAAGAGGGACGCGCCGGGCAUCUCGUGAAUCGUUGAUGCGUGCGCCGACGAGCGGCAGGCACCGGUCCACACCUGAUCCUUGAGAUGUGCGCUGGUGGAUUGGAUCGUGACAGUACUUGAAAGAAUAAGGUCCGUUUUCUUCCAUUGACUUAUUUUUAGCACCCGUCACAUCGAAUGUUUAGAUAUUAAUUAGGAGUAUUAAACGUAGACUAUUUACAAAACCCAUUACAUAAGACGAAUCUAAACGGCGAGACGAAUCUAUUAAGCCUAAUUAGUCCAUGAUUUGACAAUGUGUUGCUACAGUAAACAUUUGCUAAUGAUGGAUUAAUUAGGCUUAAUUAGGCUUAAUAGAUUCGUCUCGCCGUUUAGAUUCGUCUUAUGUAAUGGGUUUUGUAAAUAGUCUACGUUUAAUACUCCUAAUUAGUAUCUAAAUAUUCGAUGUGACACGUGCUAAAAAUAAGUCAGUGGAAGAAAACGCCUCCUAAGACGCCGUGUAUUUUUUUGAAGGACUCUCUGGUUUAUUAAGGUACCGUAUACUUUGGCUAAAGUUUAGCACAUGUUACAUCAAUAUUUGAAUGUUAAUUACAAAUAUUAAAUAUAGACUAAUUACAAAACUAACUGCACAGAUGGAGUCUAACUUGCGAGACGAUUCUACUAAACAUAAUUAAUCCAUCAUUAGCUAAUGACUACUGUAGCACCACAUUGUCAAAUCUUGAACUAAUUAGGGUUAAUAGGUUCGUCUCGCGAAUUAGCAUUGGAAUUUUGCAAUUAAUUUUAUAAUUAGCUCAUGUUUAAUCUUUCUAAUUAGUAUCAAACAUCCAACGUCACGCUACCAUCCCUUUGCUGCGAACAGUGACCACAGACCAGAGCGAUCUGUGCCGUCCACAAUGCCGGCCGGAGAUGCCUUGUCCGUCGCCGGCGGUGAGCGUCGCUGGCGAGAGAGAGCUGCUCUGCAUCCAGCAUCCCUCUGAGUCAACCUGUUCCCUUUUUUAUCGCCUCAUUUUUAAUCUUGCCGCGAGGCCGCUCAAGUUCUCGCCCCCGCCUCGCCCUCCCUCCUCUUCCUCCUCCUCCUCCGUCAGCGGCGGCGGCGUCGCGGCGACAACGUUCACCCGGCUCCCGCUCCGCGACGCGCCGGAGUCAGCGGAGGUCACGCUCGACCGUUUCCCCACCGCCCCGGCCAACCCGGAGGCGCCAGCACCCGCUCCCACACGCGGGAACGGUGUCCAGCGGCUGCAGGACGAGGUGGAGUUCGAGGUCGGGUUGGGGGCCACCUCGUUCGCGCAGAUUCCGCUGCGGGACUGGCCGGACGGUGUGGAGCUCACCAUUGGCCAGUUCGACGCCCGCGUGGCCGGUGGGAAGAGCGCGGGAGGCCGCGGGUUCGCGCGGCAAAUGGUCGAACACCUUGAAGACGACGGUGACGAGGAGUUCGUCGUCAACAGCCGAGACGUAUUUGAGGUCAAAAAGGGGCGGAAUGCUCGGGCUGUUGUACCCGAGGUGCUCGACGACGACGAUGACGUCGUGGUGUUCGACCCGGACUACGGCGUCGACAGCGACGACGAGGAGGAAUUCCACAUGUUCCCGAUCAAGCAAAGUCACGAAGCUGGUGCCACUCCACGCACGGAACUGGGAGAGCUAGAGUACGACGAGGAAGAAGAUGACGACGACGAUGAGAUUGUAGUGUUCCACCCAGACUACGACGACGAGGACGACGACGAGGACGAGGAGGCCUUUGAGGAGGACGACGACUACGAGGAAGGGGACGGGGAGGCGAAGGAGAAGGGCGUGCCCGCCGUGAUGCGUUGCUUCGACACGGCCAAGAUAUUCGCCAAAGCCUGGGACGGCGGCAACGGCGUGGUGGCUUUCCGCCGCGAGAAGUACGUGCCGUACGGGGGCCCCUCGGGCGGCGACGGCGGCCGCGGGGGCGACGUGUACGUGCAGGUGGACGGGGAGAUGGACUCGCUGCUGCCGUUCCGCAAGUCCGUGCACUUCCGCGCCGGCCGCGGCGCGCACGGCAUGGGCCAGCAGCAGGCUGGCGCCAAGGGCGAGGACGUCGUGAUCAAGGUCCCGCCGGGGACGGUGGUGCGGUCGUCGGACAAUGGCGUGGAGCUGCUCGAGCUGAUGAAGCCUGGGCAGCGCGCGCUGCUGCUUCCAGGUGGGCGCGGCGGCCGCGGCAAUGCGGCGUUCAAGUCCGGCACAAACAAGGUGCCCAGGAUCGCAGAGAAGGGGGAGAAGGGCCCAGAAAUGUAAGUUCUCUCUACCGUGAAAGUUCUUUCGUCGUCUCUUAUGGUUACACUGAAUUUCUCUCUGCUCUUGCAUUUGUCAAUCCUGCCAUUUUUAGGACACUAUCUGCAGCUUCAAUUGUCGAUGGUCAUCACUCAUCAGGCCAUAGAUGAUGAUCACUAGAUCAGGCAUGGGGGAAUAUUUCUGUAGUUUUAUUUGCAUACCGUCUGCUAACAUUGAGCCAAUGAUCCAGAUACCCAGUACCCAGCUUCUUGCUUCUCAACACUAUAGUAUAAAUACGAUGUUAAAUGUAAUGCUAUCUGAAAAAAAAUUGCUGAUUAAGCAGAGAUAGUGUGUCACUUAUAUUUGUGCCUAAUUGGUUUAGUCUGACAUUGCUCAACAUAUGGAAUUUACCGGCUCUCUGGAUUGUAAUGUGGUUGCUUUGGUGCCAUAGUAUUGUGUAUUUGCAUUGUACUUACGAAUUUCCAACUGACAGUCAUGAAGUUUUGUAAAUCUUCAAGUAGCAUAAACCCUGCUUAGAGAACUGAAUGUAAUUGCAGUGUCCUACUAAAAUGAUUAUAGUGUUUAUCCACACAUAAAUUGACCUGCGAUCAUGAUGCCACCUUGAUCAUGACAUCAUUGUUAUUCUUAUUCCGUAACAGUUGGCUUUCCAUGUACUAAUUUACUUUUUAUUGUAAUAUCCGGUUCUCGUUCUUGAUUAAUUAUUGGAUGUCUCAUCUAUUCCAGCUCUGUUUUGCUAACAUCAAAUUUCUUAUUUUGGGAUCGCUGAUGGUUGGCAGGUGGCUAGCUUUGGAGCUAAAGUUGGUUGCUGAUGUGGGGAUUGUAGGUGCUCCAAAUGCUGGAAAGAGCACUCUCUUGAGUGUUAUUAGUGCUGCCAAACCAACUAUAGCCAAUUAUCCUUUCACAACAUUACUGCCAAAUCUUGGAGUUGUCUCGUUAGAUUUUGAUGCUACCAACUAGCGCCAGGAUGCAGUCCUCCCUCAGCGCCGCCGCUCAACGGCUCGCAAAGGGGCAUUUUUCCACCCGCGCGAGCGCGAGCAGUGGCCCCGUGCCGCCGUCCGUCCUGUCGCCCUUGCCCGUGCCUGAAGCUCACGCGGGGCUUCUCCUUCGCCCGUUCGGGGGGCCGCCUCGGGGCCGAUUCAUCAGUAGCACGGCGACGCUGUCGUCGAACUCCAACUCGAAGCCUGAAGCGCCGAGAGCCGCCAACAAUCCAGCGACGGGAGGAGCGUCGUCGAACUCCAACUCAAAGCCUGAAGCGCCGGGAGCCGCCAACAAUCCAGCGACGGGAGGAGCGUCAUCAGCGCCUGUUCCACCUUUGCACCUUAUGUGAGUAAAUAAAAGGCCAUUCUUUUUCUCUUGUUCUUGCGAUUUUAAUCAGUGGAGUGCCUGUAUUAGUCACUUAUCUAAUAAUAGUGUCAAUUUCUUGUAAUUGUGUGUGAAAACUACUAGUAGUAUUGGUCCAGUAGUCAGGCCUUAUUGAUUAAUGGCUAGUAGUGCAAAAUUUGUGUGAAAACGAGUAGUAGCAGCAGCUUGUAUUGUGUUAUUUGGUUGCCAAGGGUCACGGGUUCGCUAGAUUGUCCAAGCUGUAGUGACAUUUUGCUCACUGUUCUCAAUUUCGAUGUUGCAUCGUAUAUGUUGAAGGCUUCACGUCUCAUUUUAUCGGUUGGGAGCUAAAAUGUCAGAAUUACAUCUAAUUUCUUUUUGAAGAACACCAAAAUAACUUUGGUAAAUUUUUUGCAACAAAACCAUUGUUCUAGUGUUCCAUGUUUACUUUUAUAUUGGAUGACUACAGCAUUAAGUUUUUUCUCAUUCAACUCAUUAACAGCCCUGCUGAUGCCCCCUUGGAACAUUCUCCAUAUUGUAUUGCUUUCUUUGCAUACUCUGAUGUGUUGAUUUAUUUUUAACAAACUGUCAUGCCAAGUGUUUUGAACAUUGUCUGAUUGGUUGUUAUGAUCGAUCUUGCAGGUCAUUUGGUGGCCCACAAGGCAGCAAGCUGCGUGAUUCAGAAGAGUUCCUUCAGCAAAAUGAAGUGCUGCAGACUCUGCCAAGGGACAGGCUGAUCUGGCCCGUUAGUGGUCACACACACCUGUUUCCUGACUUGGGCCGUGAGCUCUUCAGAUCAGCCUUGCUGAUACCGUUCGUGUCCCACCUCCAAAAGUGUACCAGCGAAGGAGUCUUUGAGGAGGGCAAUGUUGGAGUUAUAGAGGAACUCAAUGCGUUUGGUCUGAAGGAGGUGUUCCCUUAUCAAGUUGAUGAUCUUACUGAUGACAUGAUGCUAAAGAAUUUUUAAGAGGCUCGUGACUACGCUGUUGGGAAGUUUGAGAAGAUUUAUGGGAAGAGUAUUCUUGAUCAAUUCCUAGCUAUCAAAGCCCUGAAUGAACAGAUCGACACAUUACCACUUUAUCCAUUAAAGAUCGUGAACAAUGUAGCCUUGCUUUCAAAGGAGAACACAGCAGUACUCAACCAAAGAAUGCAUGAUUUGCUAUUGAAGGUAAUCCCAUUCCAGUACCCGCACAAGGUCAAGAGUGCUACUGCAGCCCAAUUACGUGUGUCAUACACACGAAAGACCGCCCCUGUCACUUCCAGUGGUAAAUUCUGGCUCUCGAUUGCUCGGAGAAAUCCUUGGUUAGGAAACUGGAUCGAUUAUGCUGACAGGUCCAAGCCCAAUCGUUCAUCGUCUAGUACAAGUCUGCUGAAACAUCACCGACACGGUUGCAGUGCCCACCGGAUGGAGAAUUAUGUUGAGACAACUGUCACCAGAUUACCCAUUGGAAGCCCAAGAUGGCACAAUUUGACAGCUCAACCAAUCAUAAGGGGUGAGGUGCUCGAUCUGUACUCUUACUCUUAUCCGGAGUUCACUUUUAAGACGUAUGAUGCAUGUGAGCGGGAGGGACUGGCUGGUUAUCUGAACAUCAAUGAUCUGUUCCAUGUCCCGACGUGGUACAGCUGAGGAUACCCAUGUGUCUGUGCCAGCGGAGAUGAAGCUAUUGAAUCAUCACAUCUUCUAAUAUGCUCAUGCUUCAUCUGGCUAAUACAUUGAUGCUCUAGCUAUUUAUGCCUUCUGGAACUCUGUAAUGUACUUAGGAUUUGUCGGUGUUCUCGUACUAUGUACUAUGCCUGUGAAUGGCCGUCGGACGUCUCUUAGAUCAUUUUGUUUGUGCCGUGAUGUUCUGCUAUACUUGAUUUCAAUAGAGCUUCAGAACCACUUGUGUUACUUCCAAGUUGAUUCAGCUUAUAUUGAACAGUUUAGGUAGACUAGCUCAGCUUAUUUCCUUUUACUCAUUCUUAGCUUCCAUAUUAUACCACUCAACUCAACAUAUGUUUUCUAAUCUUAUCUAUUAAUACAGGAGUGCUUUAGAUGUUGAAUUGUCAAAAUAUGUUGUUGAAGCUUACACCAAAGGGGUUUGUGCCGUUUAUUGAACUUUUGGUACUGUUCGAUUCAUAUCUUCUGUCUUUUCCUUGUUCUUAAAGAAAUCAUGUUUUCUUUAUUCUUGCACAUAUGGAUUAGAGUGUUUGGUUCUACAUUAUAGGGAGACUUAAACUUUUAUGGACCCUUUUUAUCCUUUAAGGUGAUUUACCAAUUACCAUUUUCCAUAUUCUCUAUAGUUUAGAUCUUUAUUCAGGAAAGAUCCUUAAAAUCUAAUUUUCUAUCAGUGUCUCCUUGCAUUCCUACUUUUCUUUUUUCAUUCGGUAUGCAACUUUUGGUCAUUAGGUUUUCAUGAGUAAUUGAGUAUACUAUUUAUCAUUAGGAAUAGCACUUGUAUUCAUAACAGGGGCUCUAGGCCCAUAUAUAUACAGGUACAGGAGGGGGAAAUAUAUAGAAAACCUCCUAAUAGAAAAGGUAAAUUACCAACACUACAUAUACAUCUAACACCCCACCCACCCACCCCCCACCCCCGCAAACUCAUGGUGGGUGAAGAACACUGAGUCUGGAGAGGAAAAAUCUAUGCUGAAUACGUGUUUGUGCUUUUGUAAAGAAAUCAGCCAGCUGCAAUUCUCAAGGCACAUACUGAAGAGCAAUAACCCCAUCCUGAACCUGUGAACGUGUAUAAGAAACAUCCACACCAAUAUGCUUAGUAAGCUCAUGCUUCACUGGAUCACGAGCAAUACUGAUAGCUCCUGUACUGUCAGGCAAAAGAGGAGUCGGCACAGAAACUGAAACACCAAAAUCCUCAAGCAACCACCGUAACCAAGUCACUUCUGCCAUCACAAGCGCCAUAGCACGCAACUCAGCCUCAACACUCGAACGAGAAACUGCUACCUGCUUCUUAGUCUUCCAAGCAAUAAGGGAACCACCAAGAAAAACACAAUAGGCAGAAAAGUAGACUGACCAGUGGGCUCAUAACGUGUGCGAAGAAAAGCCCACAUUUGAUGUGCAAAAUCAAGCUCAAUAAUAUCAGCCGAAACCCUGUCCUCAAUGCUAGCAACAAGAAUAUAAGCAGCUCGAGCAUCCGAACAUCUGAUGUGACCUGCUAAAAUUUAGCAUCUCAUAUCCAAACACCUCCUAAGUUGCUGCGAACAGUGAUCACAUACCAGAGCGAUCUGUGCCGUCCACAAUGCCGGCCGGAGAUGCCUUGUCCGUCGCCGGCGGUGAGCGUCGCUGGCGAGCGAGAGCUGCUCUGCAUCCAGCUAUUUUUUGCGACUACACUGGAUAGCAAAAAUGAUCUGCUAUUUUUUGCGAUCGCAACUCAGCCUGGCACUCUUGUUUCUUACCAAAGUCAACAGUAAAAACUGAUGCCACGAGCACCGCCGCACGAUCUGGAAUCCGACGGUCCAGAUGGCACGCAGCUGCCAAAAAGAAAAUUCAUCGCACCAAAAAUCUCUGCACAGCCCCGGCGCCUUAUCCGCUUUUCCACUCGAGCGACCUGCUGCUGGCAACUCUUCAGCUCAGCAGGCAUGGCGCCGCCCGCCGUCGCCGCCGCAACGGCGUUCCCGUUCCGCCUCUUCUCCGCGGAGGCCCGACGGAACGCCAGGGGCGCGCGGGGGGGCAAGCGGAGCGCCGCGAGGCCGCUCAAGUCCUCGCCCCCGCCUCGCCCUCCCUCCUCUUCUUCCUCCUCCUCCGUCAGCGGCGGCGGCGUCGCGGCGACAACGUUCACCCGGCUCCCGCUCCGCGACGCGCCGGAGUCAGCGGAGGUCACGCUCGACCGGUUCCCCACCGCCCCGGCCAACCCGGAGGCGCCAGCACCCGCUCCCACACGCGGGAACGGUGUCCAGCGGCUGGAGGACGAGGAGGAGUUCGAGGUGGGGUUGGGGGCCACCUCGUUCGCGCAGAUUCCGCUGCGGGACUCGCCGGACGGUGUGGAGCUCACCAUUGGCCAGUUCGACGCCCGCGUGGCCGGUGGGAAGAGCGCGGGAGGCCGCGGGUUCGCGCGGCAAAUGGUCGAACACCGUGAAGACGACGGUGACGAGGAGUUCGUCGUCAACAGCCGAGACGUAUUUGAGGUCAAAAAGGGGCGGAAUGCUCGGGCUGUUGUACCCGAGGUGCUCGACGACGACGAUGACGUCGUGGUGUUCGACCCGGACUACGGCGUCGACAGCGACGACGAGGAGGAAUUCCACAUGUUCCCGAUCAAGCAAAGUCACGAAGCUGGUGCCACUCCACGCACGGAGCUGGGAGAGCUAGAGUACGACGAGGAAGACGACGACGACGACGAUGAGAUUGUAGUGUUCCACCCAGACUACGACGACGAGGACGAGGACGAGGAGGCCUUUGAGGAGGACGACGACUACGAGGAAGGGGACGGGGAGGCGAAGGAGAAGGGCGUGCCCGCCGUGAUGCGUUGCUUCGACACGGCCAAGAUAUUCGCCAAAGCCGGGGACGGCGGCAACGGCGUGGUGGCUUUCCGCCGCGAGAAGUACGUGCCGUACGGGGGCCCCUCGGGCGGCGACGGCGGCCGCGGGGGCGACGUGUACGUGCAGGUGGACGGGGAGAUGAACUCGCUGCUGCCGUUCCGCAAGUCCGUGCACUUCCGCGCCGGCCGCGGCGCGCACGGCAUGGGCCAGCAGCAGGCUGGCGCCAAGGGCGAGGACGUCGUGAUCAAGGUCCCGCCGGGGACGGUGGUGCGGUCGUCGGACGAUGGCGUGGAGCUGCUCGAGCUGAUGAAGCCUGGGCAGCGCGCGCUGCUGCUUCCAGGUGGGCGUGGCGGCCGCGGCAAUGCGGCGUUCAAGUCCGGCACAAACAAGGUGCCCAGGAUCGCAGAGAAGGGGGAGAAGGGCCCAGAAAUGUAAGUUCUCUCUACCGUGAAAGUUCUUUCGUCGUCUCUUAUGGUUACACUGAAUUUCUCUCUGCUCUUGCAUUUGUCAAUCCUGCCAUUUAGUAUUAGGACACUAUCUGCAGCUUCAAUUGUCGAUGGUCAUCACUCAUCAGGCCAUAGAUGAUGAUCACUAGAUCAGGCAUGGGGGAAUAUUUCUGUAGUUUUAUUUGCAUACCGUCUGCUAACAUUGAGCCAAUGAUCCAGAUACCCAGUACCCAGCUUCUUGCUUCUCAACACUAUAGUAUAAAUACGAUGUUAAAUGUAAUGCUAUCUGAAAAAAAAAUCGCUGAUUAAGCAGAGAUAGUGUGUCACUUAUAUUUGUGCCUAAUUGGUUUAGUCUGACAUUGCUCAACAUAUGGAAUUUACCGGCUCUCUGGAUUGUAAUGUGGUUGCUUUGGUGCCAUAGUAUUGUGUAUUUGCAUUGUACUUACGAAUUUCCAACUGACAGUCAUGAAGUUUUGUAAAUCUUCAAGUAGCAUAAACCCUGCUUAGAGAAUUGAAUGUAAUUGCAGUGUCCUACUAAAAUGAUUAUAGUGUUUAUCCACACAUAAAUUGACCUGCGAUCAUGAUGCCACCUUAAUCAUGACAUCAUUGUUAUUCUUAUUCCGUAACAGUUGGCUUUCCAUGUACUAAUUUACUUUUUAUCGUAAUAUCCGGUUCUCGUUCUUGAUUAAUUAUUGGAUGUAUCAUCUAUUCCAGCUCUGUUUUGCUAACAUCAAAUUUCUUAUUUUGGGAUCGCUGAUGGUUGGCAGGUGGCUAGCUUUGGAGCUAAAGUUGGUUGCUGAUGUGGGGAUUGUAGGUGCUCCAAAUGCUGGAAAGAGCACUCUCUUGAGUGUUAUUAGUGCUGCCAAACCAACUAUAGCCAAUUAUCCUUUCACAACAUUACUGCCAAAUCUUGGAGUUGUCUCGUUAGAUUUUGAUGCUACAAUGGUUGUGGCAGACCUUCCUGGUCUGCUGGAAGGCGCUCAUCGUGGAUAUGGUUUGGGUUAUGAGUUCCUAAGACAUAGUGAGAGAUGUUCGGUCUUGGUAUGUUCCUUUUUCCUUCCUUUCCUCUCAUCUUGAUAUCUAGUAUGUUGAUAUUAGGCUUUGUUAUUUUAGAAGUCUCCAUAUUAUGUAUCUAUCUACAAGUAUGACUCUGGUGAUCAUUGUUUUAUGGCCUGUUGGAUUCUUAGGUGCAUGUUGUUGAUGGUUCUGCCCAACAGCCAGAUUAUGAGUUUGAGGCAGUUCGCUUGGAACUGGAGUUAUUUAGCCCAUCUUUGGUUGACAAACCCUAUGUGGUAGUGUACAAUAAGAUGGACCUUCCAGAGGCAUCCGAUAGGUGGAAUACAUUUAGAGAAAAGCUACAGGCUCAAGGCAUUGAACCUUAUUGCAUUAGUGCAAUAAACAGGCAAGGCACACAUGAUGUUAUUCAUGCUGCUUACAAGCUUCUACAGAAAGAGAGGCAAAGGAUAAAGGAAACUGAAGGUGACUACUUUAUCCUCUUGAUUUAAUUGAGUUGUAGCCAACACUUAAUGAAACCUGAUGGUGCUUUCUAUACAGCACCUCAUUUCCUUUUGGGCUAUUUAUUUUAUACUAUUUUGCUGCAGAAUGGAGUGGGACAGAAAAUUUGAACCACGUGUCGGAUGCAAUUAAAAGGGAAAGGCGUGCUCCCAUGAAUGAGUUUGAGAUUUUUCAUGAUAAGGGUACAAGUACAUGGACUGUUGUUGGAGCUGGAAUUGAGCGUUUUGUUCAGAUGACCAACUGGCAGUAAGUAGUUUAUUUUUCAGUGCUCAUUGCUUUGCUGACGCCACUACAUUUUCUCUUCUAACAUCUCCUGAUGCAGGUACUCAGAUUCCUUGAAAAGAUUUCAGCAUGCCCUAGAGGCAUGUGGUGUCAACAAAACUCUCAUCAAACGUGGAGUCAAAGAGGGAGACACGGUGAUAAUUGGCGAGGUAUGAAUGCGCUAAUCAGACAUGAUCAAUUGCUGAACUUACAGGUGGGCAGAGCUACCAGCUUCAACAAAAAUUGUGUUUCUGCAGAUGGAAAUGGUUUGGAACGAUGAAGCUAAAAGUAACCGUCCAUCAAAGACGAUGAACACAAAAGAUGAUGCUGUCCGGUGGCCCGAAUUUGGCUAGAGCAAGAGUUAUUCAGCUUCUUCUUAGAUGUAGAGGUAAGUCUCAGUGAAAGCUUGGCGCAAGCUUACUGAAGCUUUGAAUUUCGAUACUUUAUUGUGCUUGUGCAUCCAGCAUCCCUACUUUAGCUGUUAAGGUUCUUGUUCUUUUCAGAAAGAUCAGAAACUUGAAGAGAACAUGUUUGCACUUCUAAUCGCCUUUUGUUUCGUUGGGAAUUUGAAUAUAUUUCCUUACUUUGCAAUUGUUUAACGUUCCAGCAAGAUGCUAGUGGUCGGCGUGCACAUCUUUCGUGCAGUUUGCACGCAAUGGGCACGAUUGGCGUUCAGAUCAGUGAGCCCACUAUACUGCUUCCACUUUCCAGAUGAUCUGAACGCGCGCUGGAGAGACGCGUCGAUUGGAGUCCGAUGGUUGGAAGUUGGAACAAGUUGCCAAGGAAGAGCGACGCUGGGCGCUGAAGUUUUCUCACGGUUUUCCACAGAACGCAAGAGUAGAUUAUACAGAUGUGAUGUUUGCUGAGAAAUGUAACUUAUUUUGUAAGAAAAGAAGGUAAAUGUCUGCUUGUGCGGUGUAUGCACGCAAUCGAACUGUUUUAGUCAAGAAAGAGUUUUAGAUUUCCCCUUUUUCUAAAAAAAAAGGAAAAUGUACAUUUCAGCUGCAGGCCGUGUACUUUCGUCACGCUCAGCACCACGUACUUACUACGGGGCCCAAAACAUGCCAUUGAAUCCCCUGCUUCGUGGGCCCUUCUCUCGUCGUCCAGAGUCCAGAUCCACCAACGGGCCGGCCCUUUUCAGACAGUCACACUGGCUGCUGGUCCGACUCGGAAUUUGAAACAAAAUCCGAGUAAGAAAGCCGCCGCUUCCCGCCGGUCUCUCGCUCUGACUCCCCCUGUAUUUAACUCUGCAGCACCACGGCCAAUCAACCGCACCGGCAGUCCAGCACAAGCGCAAGCCGCUUCUCGCCUGCGCACCGCUCAAAGAGCCAACCGUCCCAUCGAUAGUUCUCGUCCUGUGCUCGUCGCCAUGGCCGUGUUGCACAGCUGCAGCUUUGUCUCGCCGACGCCGGCGGUGUUCGCGCCCUCCGCGAGAACGAAGCCACCACCCAGUGCGUUUGCUUCCGUUCCAGCAGGCCGCCGUGAGAGCUCCUUCCCGGGCCUGACGCUGCGUCAGCGUCCAACGGCCGCCCUUCGCCCGGGCGUUGUGGUACGGGCGCAGAGCCGCCGCGGCGUGCCGCCGGCGGCUGGACCGGCCGAUCGUUAUUUCGUCGAGGAGAGGAAGCACGUGAUGGGCCGCUACAACAAGAUCGUCGGCGUUGAUCAUGGUUGCCUGGUACGUGUCACAAUCUCUUUAUUGGUACUAGUAGUAGUAGUGCAUUCUCUGUUUUUUUUUCGAUUUCUAUGCCUGCACGCCACGAUUCUAAUCUGAUCGUUUGUCGGUGAACAAUAAUGCAGUACAUGGAGGCCACAACGAUGUCGGGACAGGUCUGUCUGUCUGCAAAACAAGCGCUUAAGAUGGCUUCCAAUGUCAUGGUUAGUUUCAGUAGAGUACUACAACUUGAAUCCCCUCUGCAUUAACCUCAUACGUUUAGCGAUGCUUUGGACUCCUUGCUAAUCAAAGUUACCUCUGCUUUAUUUGCACAACUUCAGGACAGUGCAUGCCUGAAUCUUGGCGCGCCAAACGAAAUCUCUCUGGACACAAUCCACGGGACAAUUCGUGCGUACGUGAAGAUCUUCGUCGAUGUAGCCGACGCCUCUUACAGCAAAUCGGUCCGGAAGGACACGGUGAUGUCUUUCCUUGGUGCUCUCACAGGGCUGGCCUCCAUCAGCCACAUCUUGCUUGACACCGCGCUUGAAGCCCUCAGCCACACGCACCCGAGAGCUAGCAUGUCGGAGUAUGCUUUCAACUGUGACGUCAAGGGCAUGCGCGACGAGUUUAACCAGCAGAUGUAUGACCUUGAAGAUGGAAUCAGCAAUGCCUCAUCCGCUGAGAUAUGCAAGGUACGUGUGGACAUGCACAAUGUCUAUGUUCUCAAGUAAUAGCCUUUUAACCUGAUUCUUUUGCUAAUGUUCGAUUUUUUGCAGGUGGUGAUACCAAUAAUCUUGGAAGCUAUGGAAAUAACGGGAUCCUUUGUGGGGCUCAUGGUAGAUCGCCGGAAAAGAGCACUAGGAAAGGCCCAUAGCGAAGUAACAGUAUAGUUUCUAGCUAGCUCAUAGAUUAUAACAUCGAUGAUACGAGCUGGGGCAUGUGUUGGUAUGUGUUUGCCUGUGUUGUUUAUCAUCUGUGACAUGUGAAUCCAUCGCUCUCAGGGCAGCCUGUACAUUGAGACAUUGAUUCAUCCAUUGAACGUAUUUUUUACCUUUAACAGUCUCAUGUGGAUCAUUUGCGAAGAAGCUUUCAGUCUCGUGCUGAUAUACUUAUUAAAAGAUGCUAGUUGUGCUAUGAUUGGUGUUACUAGUUGACUAAAGAUCUCAAUUUGAGACUAGCAUCUAGAUAUUUUUCCCCCUCUUGCAUGUACCUUCAUGCUCUAAGGAAUAUCUUUAUUAGUAAAAUAUUUUGGAAACUAUAUUAAUAGAGUUGACGAUUAAUGCCUCCCUAGUUUAUAAGGGACGUCUUCAUUAGUAAAAUAUUUUGGGACAGCAUUAAUCGUCAAAUGUUCAGUAGAGUUGACGAUCAAUGUGUCAGAUGUUGUUCUAUUGUCAAUUGUUCAGAGCUCGUUGUUUGUAAAUUGCUGAUUUGUAAAAGGAUUAACACUUGAGAUCACCGGUAAAUCGAAGAAAAAUGAUGGGUUAUUUCAUCAUCGAAGUAGGGUGUUUUCCACAGCUAAUUUUGUAUUUUACAUGUUCAUUUCUUGAUUUUGCUGCAAAAAUGGAAAGCACAGUUGGGUCCUAGGUGCCGGCCUCUGCCGCUAGCUUGUACAGGACAUAACCUCAUUUCCUUUUUUGCUGGAAGGAUGAGAUACAUAUAUCAAAAGUGAAAGUAUGCAGAUUUUUCAUAUUUCUGAACAUUUCACGGUACUCGCACAGCUCUGUUAGGACUUAGGAAAGCAAGAUUGCAAAUGGAUCCAAACGGAUUGAAAACUGAAACAUUCAUGAGUAACAGCACAUCCAUACAUUGCGUGAGGUGCCGUAGGGAGAGUCAACGGUGGUACGUUGUGGCGCUAGGCAAGCCAAUCGUAUUGUGAGCCUCCUUCGCAGCGUCACGCUGGGCAAGCCAAGCUGUGCAAGCAUGCGCACAAACGAGUAGAACACAACUUGGAAUUAAACAACCAGUUAAUUUUGCACGAUGACAAAUUUGACUACUGACGAAUGAUAGAUUGAUGACAACAGGUAGUUAGAUCUUCCUGGAUAAGUUAAACAGGCAAAGAUCAAAAGAAGUAGAUUAUUAUCGUACCAAUACAAAAACUAGUACUAGCAGCAGCGGAGUAAAAAAUUCAAAUUUUAACUUGUUAGGGGAGUGAUAGUGUAAAUUUUCAAAAUUUUGGCAAACUUUUCUAGUGCAAUUUUUUUUUUUUUGGGGGGGGGGGGGGGGGUUUAUGCCCCUUGGAGAUAGUGCCUUAAUUUAAACCAUGCGGUGUGACUAGUAAAUCUAGAUGAUAAGCUCUACAUCUCGAUGAUGUCUGCAUUAGAUAGGGAGCCGGGCACAUCAAUCGGGAGCUUGGGGAAGUGGGCACAAUGCCGCUACGACGAGCCGCGAGCCUCGAUAUGUAGACCAUGCUGAGUCGGUGUGCCGCUUCCACCACGUUCUCCGCCAGCACGUAGCCUUCUUCCUUAGCUUGAAGCAGGACACGGCGGGUGCACCGGUCGGUCUGGUCCACGGCAGCGGCAUGGUCAUGGCAGACUCCCGUCGAUCAGAGUAGAAGCACGAAAGGGGAAAUGGGGUACACUUGACGAGAACCGGGGUAACACUAAGUGGACGAGCAAAGAAAAGGACCCAUCCUCUCCUCUCUUGUUGGCAUGCAGGGCGUGUUGGCAUGUAGAACGUGUUUGAUCAUGCCUUCACCUCGCCAUAGUUUGCCGCGCCUGACUUCCACCUAUGUUUGCUUUGCACCAGGGGCGGAUCCAGCGUGGGGGCUGGAGUCCCCUACCCCCGUACAGCCCAUGGAGCCCUUGAAGCUUCUCCUAAAAAUUUCAGUCAUGGAAGAAGAGGAGGAAGAAAAAUUGAAGGAGCAAGAAGAAAAGGAGAGUGGAAAGGAAGAAGGGGAAAACAAUUCUUGGAUUCGCCCCUAUUCGCACCGAACUACGAAGGAAUCCUUUCCCAGUGUCCCUGCUGAAGGAAGCCCUUCUCGCACUCCAGCGCAACCAACUUCAAGUCCUUCCUAAUCGUUAUCAAAGCCUACAAGGCAGACACGUUUAUUUAUUCUACAAGGCAGACACGUUUAUUUAUUAUACAAAACUGGAAGAUAUAUGCAAAGAUGCAUGGUAUCGCAAAGGCAAAAUUCAACCUCACGGUUCAUUGGUGUGGGAGCUCGAAUCUCCAAGGUCACCUGUAGAAUGCACCCAUGCAGUGGCGGAGGAAAGAUUGGGAGUUAGGGGGGCUUAUUUCUUCUUCAAGUCCAUCUCCACUCUUUCUUCAUCUUUUUCUUCCUCUUUUCCUCUCUUUUCCUCACAUUCCUCCUUUGAUUCAAUGGUGUUCUUGGGCAGUAGGAGGCCCUAGCCCCCCUAGAUCCGCCCCUGCACCCAUGACAAAUUUCCAUCUUGUACGCAAACACCAGUAACAUAUUCUCGUCUCUGCAGAUCUAGAAGAGAUUGAACAACAAUUAUUGAUAAUGAAGAGUAGGCUUAAACUCUCACCAUGGCAAAACCCUCAAGGAUUAUAUAUCUCAGCCAUAGCAAAAUAAGAUAAGGAAUAAUAAAUACAAAACUUACAGCUAGCAAAACUCUCUCAGACGUAGCAAUGUCAGGGUUAAAGUCAUGGAUCUCUCUAUGGACGGAAUCGCUAGGCCUAAACUUGCAAAAUACUCCUGGACAACACAACAAAGAAUAUAUCUUACACACAAAACCACAAAGACCCAUCCCAAAGCGAAUAAUGGCGCGUUCGUUCGUGGAACAACUCAACUCGCAAAACCCAUCCCCACCGAAUUGAAUCGACGAGAUCACGACCGGCGUUUACCAAUCGAUGGGAACUUAGGCGUGCUUUGAAACAAAGUUGACAUAUAUGUAUGGAUUCACCAUUCUAAAAUCCAUUCCUAAAUUAUGAUUAGAUAUGCAGUUUUAGAUUUCUAAACCCUAGCAUAACACAAACAAUCAAGGCCAAUGUUUAGUUUGAGGCUGUUCAAGUUGCAAAAAUAAUUAACUCAACAGUUGGCUGAUUGACAAGCAAGCGCAUGAUACAAACUAAUAGAAAUGCUUGCACAGGUGUUCUUCUCCAUUCCGUUACUCCUCACACCCUCGCCUUAGCAUCACCCACCUCCUCCCAUCUCUGGCGGUACGGUGUACCUGAAAAGGCUCCUGCCCAUGCACCGACAAAUUUGACUAAUUUUGCACGAUGACAAAUUUGACUACUAACGAAUGAUAGAUUAUUGAUGACAUCGGGUAGUUAGAUCUUCCUGGAUAAGUUAAACAGGCAAAGAUCAAAAGAAGUAGACUACUGUCAUACAAACUACAGAACUAGUACUAGCUAGUAGUGGCGGAGUCAAAAAUUCAAAUUUAGCUCAUUAGAGGAGUGAUAGUUUAAAUUUUCAAAAUUUAGACAAAAUUUAUUUUUUAGUGCAAAUUUUUAUUUGGGGGGAGGGGGGUUAUGCCCCCCUAUCUAGGCCCCUACUAGAUAGUGCCUUAAUUUAAACCAUGCACUGUGAGUAGCGCUAUGAGUAGUGAAUUUAGAUGAUAAGCUCCACUGCAGUGAUGACAUUUGCGAAGUCCUUGGAUAGGAUCUCGUAUUGGGUCUCGAUAACCACAAGCAACAUGUAGACCAUGCCGAAUCAGCGCGCCGCUUUCACCACGUUCUCCACCAACAUGUAGCCUUCUUCCUUGGCUUGAAGCAGCACGCGGCGGGUGCAUCGGUCGAUCUAGUCCACGGCAGCGGCAUGGUCAUGGCAGACUCCCCCGAUGAGAGUAGAAGCACGAAAGGGGAAAUAGGGGUACAAUUGACGAGAACCGAGGCAGCACUGAGUGAUCGAGCGACCCGUCCUCUCCUCUCUUGUUGGCAUGUAGGGUGUGUUUGGAUCAUGCCUUCACCUCGCCACAGCUUGCUGCGCCUGACUUCCCCCUAUGUUUGCUUCGUGCCUAGGGGUGGAUCCAGUGGGGGGCUGGAGCCUCUACCCCCGUGUGCCCAAAGAGAGAGGGAAGCAAGAAAAAGGGGCCUUCAAUUUUUGAAUCCAUCCCUGUUCGCGCCGAACUUGCGGGAAGCCGCACCUCUACGGACGCUCGCUAGUGUAUUUGAAUGCUGUUUUCUCGCCGAAAGUUCAACGGUCGUUUUCUUCGCUGAACCUGUGGCGUCACUUGAACGCAGGUUCGGCAGACUCUGGAGCCAAACAGGGCCGCAGUGCGCAACAUUGAGCUCUCGUGACCCGUGAAUGCAACCACGCGCUCGCUGAUCAGCCAUCUGCUAGGUGUUCACCGGAGGAAUGGAGAAGCCCUGAAUCCUGAUCGAUGAGGUAAGAACUACUACUUGGUAGCUAGCUUCAGUGCAAGAGAUGGCAGCGAUUCGGUCCUGGAUGGUGCCCGUGGAGUGUGGGAAACUCUUGCUGCAGGACUGGGCCCCGCCUGGCAGUGACCACGCUCCACAGGGAAGAAGAAUAUUAGGGGGUUUGCUAGGCGAGAGGAAGACAGUCUUCUUCUAUCUGCAGUGACGAGACGUCGAGAAAGAGCCUGCAAACACCGAUGCCAUGCCACCGACCGCUGCGGCUCUGGCUCGCAGGACAUGCAUCCUUUACAAGUAGCCGGUGGGAAAAACGAAAGGAAGAAAAGAAGCAGCGCGAGGGAGGCAUAUGCCCUUUGCAAAUAUGCAACUGCAACUUCCAACUUAAUUCAAUUUCUGCAUCGAUCAGAAUUUGGGCGUCACUGUAUGCAGUUUCCUGUCUUGGCAAAUGCACACUAGUCGCUUUAAUUUGGGAGAUUUCCUUGGAAGGCGAUCGGGCUCGCUGCAUCGGGAGAUUUUCGCUUGUAUCAUCGGUGUCCGUGACCGUGUGCAUAGGAGCGAGGCGGCUCCCUGUAGAUUUAGGGGAUGUUUGUUUUCCAGGAGCUAAACUUUAGAUCCUAUCACAUCGAAUGUAUGUUUGAUACUAAUUAGGAGUAUUAAAUAUAGAUUAAUUACAAAACUAAUUGCAUAGAUGAAUGCUAAUUCAUGAGACAAAUCUAUUAAGCCUAAUGAUGGAUUAAUUAGGCUUAAUAGAUUUAUCUUGCGAAUUAGCCUAGAGCUUCUGCAAUUAGUUUUAUAAUUAGCUCACGUUUAAUCCUCCUAAUUAGCGUCCAAAUAUUUAAUGUGACAAGAGCUAAACUUUAAUCAAAGAUCCAAACACUCCAAACACACGCUUAAGCUGCACUUUUUUAGGCUGCGUGGUACCGUGGAAGGAAGGGCUCUGCCAUCGCUGUUUUGUAGUGCAUCAAAUGCCAGCCAAUCAUUCGUAUAAACUGUUGCUUGAGUGUUUCUAAUGCCUUUAUUAUUUCUUGAGGUGGCAGAAUUAGAGAUCACAUUGUUUCGCGAUGAGGACGACAAACUUCCAACUUAAAUGAGACAGAUCGCUUCAAACUGAUGCAUUUUGGUUAGUAUUUGAUAUUACAUAUUAUCUGAGCUUGCAUGCAUAUAAGUAGUCAUUUGUUGUUACUAGUAAUUUAAGAUCAAAGAAGAGUCGAAAAUAGCUUAGCUGGCCCCCCUAAUGGUUCCGCUUCGUCCCUGCACUUCAUACUUACAUACGGGAGCACCUGAUCUUGACCCGGGCCACUGAAGUGGCAGUAGCAUUUUCGAUGCAAGUAAAAAAUAUUUUCAGCUGACACAUCGUAAGACUUCCAGUUACGGUUGUAGUACCUAGUCAAAAUUGCUGCAACAUGUGCGCGCAAAAGGUUAUGAAAUCUGUGUUAGUAUCGCAAAUAAAACGCUGGAUAAUUAAAAUAUGAUAGUGCAUAAUUUAUUAAUACUAGAAAGCGCUAGGCGACUUGUUCUCCUCUGAUUUAAAAGAUGCUCAGUAGCAUCCAUACUUCCAACUUUCUUAUUUACUUUUAGAGGAUGGAAAAUUAACUUGUCCCUCUGCUUUUAUAAGAGGCUAAAAUAUUUUUAUUGUAAGGCUUAUUAAAAUUACCUAUCUCAAUUGUUGUAAACUCGACCUCACAUAGUAAUGUAUGUUCAUAGGAUUCUAAAGUUUAUCAUAUUGCAUUUUUAUUUGCUAAAUUUCUUUUGGUGAAAAAUGUAGUAUACAGAAGGCAGGGGGCUGACACUGAUGCUUUGCUCAAGGGUUGGAAUCUGCUUUGGUCGCGGUAACUACAAUCUCUCAUGUAUAUGGGUCCACAAGGCUUUAUUAUUCUUGUGCAUCAUCAUCCAUUUGUUUUUCCUAGGCUAAUGCACGAUUGAGAGUUGAUGAGCCAAGAGGAAUUUCAUUUCUCACAGUAGAACAGGUAACCGUCGGGUUUAGUUAUGUUGUUUAUCACAUUUUUAAACUAUAGUAGUUCAUUAAGUCUUUUUUUCUUUCUUCUGAACACAGAUCAUUGGAACAUAUGUUUCGACCUGUCUUAAGAUUGUGGACGACACAUGCCAUAGGAAAAUUGAUAGGACAAGUAUUAUUUCGUUUCUUGACGCUCUUAGAGGUUUGGCUGCAAUUAGCCAUAUCUUGAUCAAGAUGCUUUGGACGCCAUGAACAAUAUUGAAGAUUGUUCAAAAAAUUUUAGCACAGUAUUUGAUGUGGAUGCUCUUAACCACGAUUUGCAUUGUAAAAUGAAAUAAUUGGAAAUGAACUUUACGGCAGCUUCAGAUAGAGAAGCAUAUGAGGUAUGUCAUAAUUAGGUACAAAAUUUUAUCACCAUACUACUAUUUUUGUUCUGAAAUGAAAACUUUCACCAUAUUCAAUGAAAAAUUUUACCAUAUUCAUGCAGCUUCUCUGGUCUACACUUACUGAUGCAACAGACCAAGUAUCACUUUUUGUUAUCCAAAUUACUAAUCUUCGCAAGAGGGUAGUAACGUAACCCACAUCCAAAAACACGUCCAAGGUAAAGGUAAUUGUUUUAUUUGGAUAAUGUUUUUUAUCCUAAAUAUGUCCUUCAAUUAUAUCAAUUCAAAUCUCAAAAUGGGUUCUCUUAUUUUGACAAUCAUUUUGCACAGUAGGACACACCAUUAAUUGGUAAAGAGGACGUGAAUGGCGAGGAACACAUCAACGACAAGGAGUGCACCAAUGACGAGGAACAUGAUGCUUCUUAGAGAGAUUGAGCCAAGUCCGAUCCAAGCAAGCAGGAUGUGUUAGUCAAAAUUCGAGGUUCUUUUUGCAUGGUGACGGAUGGCCAGGCAUUUAGAAGAUGAGGCAUAAAUAAGCCAAGCUAGGAGUAAAGCAUCACUAGUCUAUAUUUUCUCCGGCCUAUUUCAUAUGAGGUCAGCUACAAGGCCAUUCUCAGUGGAAGUUAUAUCCUCAUUAGAUAGAGUGACACCUCAGCAUUUUUUAUGAUGUGGUAAGAAAUGAAGGAGGGAGGAGAAAUGAGUUUCAUCACUAUGAAAUCAUGUAUACACUGUUUCUAAGAUGUCUUAUGUCUUGCAUAUAGCAUUCUAAAAUGUUCAAUGAUAGCUUGCAAAUCUGCUUAGUUUUUGUUUCCGCGACACAAACUUAAUUGGUUCAAUGAGCUUGUAGUUCAUUAUAAUAUAUUUGCCAAAAUAAUCAUGAAUGUGCCACUUUCUUUAUGUAUAUAAUCCCUCAUUCCACAAAUAUAAGGAUCUGAGUUUAUCUUAAGUCAAAGUAAUAUAUUUGAUGAUUUUUAUAGUAAAGAACAAUAAUAUAUACGAUAUCAAAUAAGGAUCAUUAUUAGAUCCUUUUCUUUGAUGUGGUAAAUGUUAGUGCUAUUCUCCAAAAAUUUGAUAUGAUCAAACUUAGAAUAGUUUAGGCUAAAAAAACUUAGAAUAGUUUAACUUAUAACAAAUUUAUAAUCCCUAACAUUUGUGCACGGAAUUGGUAGUAACAUGUUCGCCUUAAUUCUAGCUCUAUUCUGGAACCAAAGAUUCACUGAUUUUGUCAAAUAUGAACGUAGAGUUGCGAUGUCCACAGUCAAGAGAAUAAAUUGCAAUCCACGAGCCAUUGAUUAGUACCUCUCUGCACCGGCGGAGCCACGUUGUGCCCAAGGUGGGCCAUGCCCCCCCCCCCCUCCUCCCCCCCCCCCCCCCCCCUCCUCCUCCUCCAAGAAAAACUCUAAAGAAGCGAAGAGCACUACUGCAUGUCUAACCCGAGGAACUCUAAAUUUGCAUGGCUACAUGCGUAAGCACGCAUGCAAGUCUAAACUCUCACAUCAUUAGUUGGUUGCAAUUUAUACUCUCGAUGUAAUUAAACACAUAUUUUAGUAUUUUACAACUUGAGGGCUUGAAGUACAUCUAUAGCCCAUAUCCAACAACAAACACUUUACGGCUUGAAGCACACAAACAAACAUAAACUUCAUCCGUCGAUGUAAUUAAAGAUAUAUUUUAGUAUUUUACAACUUGUGGGCUUGAAGUACAUGUAUAGCUCAUAUCCAACAACAAGCACUUUGCCGAGUGGGAUGCUAUGGAUGCCGCCGAAGCCGUUGCUGCUACAUCUCCUAUUCCUGUUGCUCCUGUUAGCUCUACUCGCCAUCACUGCUCUACACGUGCUAGCUAUGCUGAGGAGGACGAAGAAGAAGAAGAGGAAGAGGAAGUAGAAGACGAAGAGGAGGAUGACGAGGCCAGCGAUGAGGACGAGGAGUAGAAGUUGCUGCCUUUCAUUUCCUUUUUUGUGCUUGAUGCCAAAGGGGGAGUGAAAAUGAAUGGAUGGAUUUAUGUAUCUCUUCUUGUAUCGAACUAUGUCUUUUAAUUUCCUAUGGUGUAUAAGACUAUGUGAGCAUGAGAACUUAUAAUGGGUGUGUUAUGAAUGCCUAGAAUAGAACUACUUUUAUUUGUCUCUAAGGAUGCAUAAAUGGUAGUUUGAAAUUUUUUUGUGAUGCUUGUUAUUUUGGGAUGACAAAAUGUUCAAAGAUUCUGGAGUUUGUUCCGAAAAUUCCGCAACUUGCGAAAACUCCAGAAACUCCGAAAGUUUGUAUUUCCGGAAUCCUAGAUCCUUUCACCAUCCCUCCAAAAUGAGCGGAUGGGGGCAUCCCACCUCAUUCCCGCACCGUCACCCUCCGUUGGUUGCUCGAGCGUGUGAGUGCACGUGCUGACAACGGGACGGCGGGGCUCCUAUAUGUCUUUGGGAAGGUAGAUAAGCAACUCAUCUUUAAAGCCCAAAUUAAGCCCAUGUACAACAUUUUUUUAACAUUCAUCAAUAUUUUUAAUAAGUCUAACUUAAUUGUUAUCAACAUUUCUUAACAUUGAUCAACUUUUUUUAUAUAUACCAAUAUUUCUCUUUAACAUUUUUACAUCCACCUUGUUGCACAAUAAUUUUUUACGUACACCAACUUUUUUUUGCAUUCACCAAGAUUCUUUUUACAUUCACCAACUUUUUUAUAAAAAAUGUUGAUAUAGUUCAUCUAAAAUGUUGAGAUAGUUUGUUAGGUGGUUGUUGGCCAGUUAUUGGGACACUGCUAAAUUACAAGUUAUCUAUAGGAUUUCCCGCUGGUGGCGGCGUCGGGAUGGGUCUGAAAACGGGCCAUGGGAUGGGGCUGCAGCGAGCGGAAAUGGAUAAGCCGCUACCUUUUAAAUCGGAUGAUGGACUGCUGCUACCGGCGGAAACAAACCCAGCAGGCCACCACCGGCGUACCCUCGUAUAUGUGCAAGUCGACGAUAGACGUAUGCGCAUCAUAGUGUAUUUAUAUGAACUGUGUCAUCUUAAUACGCUGGAUCAUCUUUUUUAUCGUACAGGCACAAGUCUAAAUCAGUUAUAUUUUGUUUCGUUGCAGUGUGCAAACACUGCACAGGUAUGUACGUUAAACGCGUGAUCCGACCCUGACGUACACUGGAAUCGGCACCCCAAGCAAGUAUCGUGGAGCUUUCCGUUGAGCUGUCCCACCCUGUUGCAUGCUCACCUUUUCCACCCAAACUUUUUCUGUACUUGCCAUGUUCCUCGCGUCUGAACGACUGAAUCCGACCGGCUGGUAACAUCCGUUUCUCCGAGCUGCGCAUUCUCCUGGCCUUCUGCAGCAGGUCACUCGUCAGACACGUACAUGCUGCAACUGCAACCGGCUUGCCGGCCGCGCCCUCUCUGCUAAUCUCUAUUAUUAUACUGCUCGUUUCCUCCGAAUGGUUUCCAAUGAAGCAGCAAGCAAGCAAAUUCAGUGCUCGAUGAUCGAGCUGAACUUUGGAAAAACAAACAAACUUGAUCGUGAAGCUAGAAAUUAGUUACUGACUAAUCAUCCAUGAUCCAUGCAUGGAAGAUGAAACUCGGUACGUAACGUAUACGUACUAGUAGUACUAGAAGACGACUGAAGAAGAGCCUAAAAGUACAUGAACAAGCUAGGGCGCCAAGCCACUAGAUCAUCUUGCUCUACUGCUGCUGAUGAUGCUAAAUGCUAACACUACUAUACUACUCACUCACUGAUCGAGCUCUCGAAAGAAACAGGGCACUGAUCAAGAUCGAUCAUCAUCACAAGCAAACUAAUUGAGCUGAGCAACGCAAACUACCCGGCGGCUCAGAAUUCAGUGGGAGAGGAAGCUGAAGGGCGAGUAGCCGUCGGACCCCUGCGACGACGCCACCAUGUCGCCGCCGCCGGACGGGAACCCGCACAGCUGGUCCGCGUCGCCGCCGGCGCUGCCCCAGAACCCGGCCACCAUCUGCGCCAGGUCGUCCACGUCCUCCCGGAGGCCCAUCCCCAUCCCGUAGGCGUCCGCGUCCGAGUACCGCCGCAGGUCCUCCACCGCCGCCGCGCUGCUCCGCGGCCGGAGGCAGCUCUCCGGGACCACGCUGCUCAGGUACCCGGAGCUGUCGUCCGCGCUCGCGAACAGGAAGUCGUGCCCGUUGCGGUCCAUCAGCAGCGUCCCGUCGGCGCGAUCCACGGCCGCCGGCGCCGAGCACUCCCCCGACGACGAGGAGGAGCCGGCGCCGCCUGCCGAGGCCUGGUAGUGGUGGUGGUGGUACGAGCCAAUGUGCGGCGCGCCGCCGUGCUGCCCGUACUGCAGGGACGACGGCGCCUGCGCGUGGAACGGCGCCAGGAACGGCGGGUAGUUGUACGCCGCGUGCGUGUACACGAAGUUGGUGCGCGCCUGCGCACCCUUCAUCGACAGCGCGGCGCGGUCGUAGGCCAGCGCCGCCUCCUGCGCCGUGUCGAACGUGCCCAGCCAAUGCCGCUCCUUGGUCGUCGGGUCGCGGAUCUCCGCCGCGUACCGGCCCCACGGGCGCCGGCGAACGCCCAGGAACCGCCCGGGCUCCUGCGCGCGCCGGCGGCCGCGCCCCGCUGGCGGCCGCUCGCUCGGCGACGACGGCGGGGACGGCUGCGGCUGGCCCGACGCCGGCUUCUGCUCGGAGAACGCCAUGAGGGUCUGGUUGCUGCCACCGCUGCUGCUGCCACUGCCUCGAGUGUUCAUGGCAGGAGUGUGAUGAGCUAGGCUUUAGCUGCUGUAGUGGCUGUGAGAGACUGAGAGCUACACCUAUAGCAGCUUGACUGCUCGGUUGAGGUUUUUGUGUAGUGUGGUAGUGGUCACAAGGGAGGGAGGGAGGGGUGCUAUUUAAAUGGAGCUUGGAGGUGUCCUUUGGGAGGGAAAGGAGAGGAGGGCAGGCACUGUAGAUGAGAUGAUGAGAUGGCAGGGGUGACAUGCAUGCCCUGCACUGCACUUGUUUAAUUCCAGGAGGGAGAGGAAGGACUGGAAGCUUGGUUUGUAUGCAUCUCCGUUCUCUUCUCUCCAAGUGUUGUGUUUGGAUUUGUGUGCCCUAACCAACCUUAGGACCAGUGGAAGGAAUGUUGUGGCAAAUGUGUGCUAGUAUUGAAAAGAAUUGUUGGAAUGUUCCCUCAUCUCCUUAGUCAGUUCCACACACUUCAUUUAUGAAAAAUCAAUGCUACAUGCUUGCAAGUUAAUCAGUAUCACAUCCUAGACAUGGCAUGCUUCAAAUGUUGUAGCUAUAGUGGCCAAGAGGGGGGGCCCGAAAUAAAAAAAUAUAUAUAAUAGGCUCAAAAGAAAAACAAUAUACAUUAACUCUUUAAUUGGGUCCUACACAAGACAUAUUGCCUUGCACGUAGUGAUGAUUCUGUGCUGAGUACCGAGUGUCGCAAACUAAUGAGAUUAUGAAAAGAUGCCUGCCACUGAUGAGAAAAAGGAGGCAACAAAGAACACAACAUACGCACCUAGUCAUGCAUCGAUCCUUUUAAACAUUGUGAUCUAUGCUCCAAGAUACUACCAACGAUAGCUAUUAUGAUACAUGUCAAAAUGCUACACAACAACAUAAUGUGCUUUUUGGAGGCCAUGCAUAUGGAGCCUUUGCUUUCUUGUGUGCAUGUGCUUGCUUGCGCAAUACAUGAGAGAACUGGAUUUUUUUUCCUUAAAAAAAAACGGCUGCCUCCUCCUUGCGUGUGAGAGAAACUUUCAAAUGGAGUGGUUAGAUAGAAACAACAUUGUGAAAUGUGUAGAAGGCAGGCAGGCACUCUUUCUCAUGACAUACAUUUCCUGCUAAUAUUUUGACGUUUUUCCUUUGGUUCCAUGCAUACAGCCUUGAGUGACUCUCACAUGAGAUGAGGGUCCAGUGGGUCUCCCCUCUUUGACUCCUUUUUCUUGUUGAACCUUGCUUUUUCCCUCUCAUGAGCCAGACAAAUCCAUGGACAACGAUCAUUAUCCCUCCCAAUCGCAUUGAGCUCAUUCUUUGCAUAAUCUAUUCGCAAUGGACGCAUUCGAUAGGAUUAGUGCGCAUGUGCGUGCCGGUGCCGGGUUCAAAUGCGAACAAAUGGAAUUAUCGAAAGGAGUGAUUUUUAAACGGGAAACAAGAGAACUAUCCCUUUCAUGUCUCUCGAUCUAGAGCCAUUUUUAAGAGCCUAAUGGCUGGCUUUUGGGGGUCAAAAAGAUGGAGAGAGAGCCAAACCGGAAAGGGACGUCGAGGUAAUGCAUCCAAUGCAGCAACGUCAAUCGACCGACUGUUAAGUGUGUGGCAUGUGAGGUGAUUCAUGCAAAAGAAGAGAACAUGUACACGAAUUAGCUAGUGGAUACCACCUUUUUACCCACCUAAUUUUUCCUCGGGUAAUUAAACUUCAAUAUCUUGUAUGAUGAGAUGACCUUUCAAACCCAAACAAUAUAUACUGUACAGUUUAAUUCUCACAAUAAUGCUUGGUUAAGCAUAUGCAAGUAAAUGUAAAUUAUGUGAACCCACUUCUAGAAGCGAGCGCUCAUUGUGCUAUCCUUGUUGCCUCUGAAACAGCCUAAGUAAAUAUUAUUACACGUGGUUGGUAAGUUAAACGGGUGAGAAUGACGCGUUAAUCUUCAUAGUUUGAAGCAUCUUGUAAAGGUUGUUCUUGGAGUGUACAAAGCCUUGACUUCCCUUCCUCAUGAAAACAAUGGAAAGCUUGGAUUCUUAUGAGGAGCUGCAUUUGGAGCAAUUCUUGCAUCUAAGGCCAUAGCUUCUACAAAUGCAACUAGACAAUAGGAUGUAGAGUGCAGGAUCUUAUCUGGUGACCUUGACUUCCCCUACCCCAGCCCUCUCGUGUGAAUUUGGCACAUACAUGCUGGCUUGUGAAAUGCAACAUGGGGCCAGGUCAAGCCCUAGCUAGACAUCUGAAAAGGUGUGAGGAGAAGGUGGUGGUCUUCAACUGAAGAGGGGAGAAAAAGGCAGUUGGGGCAUGCACAAUCUAAGGACAAGGAGGUUCCACAUAAUGUCCAGGACAAGAUCCCUUUUUUUCUAUUUAGAUAAUGUUAUGACAAGAUGUACUAUCAGAAUUUAUAAAUAAUGUGAUUAAGUUUGUUAAUUUGCAGAGAGACCAGAAGUAGUACUAAUUAUGAUGGAGGGAGCACAGCGCACAAGACACAUGUUGUUGUCCAUUUCACCGGGUUUUGUGGGUGGCCUUUGCACUACUUUGACUUUAGGGUUUAGGCCUCUUUUAUAGAAGGAACAAGUGUUGGGGAAAGAGGAGUGGGGCUCUGUAGCUAGAAGUAUGCAAGACAAGCUCACUAAACAAAAUUAAGAAAAGGUAGAAAAAGACCACUUGGGGCAUGCACAUUUGUCUCACCAACUUGUAGUUUGAAUAAAGCAGGAGAGGAGAGAGAGAGGCAGAGUUUGAUUGUGAAAAGUGCUGUCAGGAAAUAAACAAGCUCUCCGGCCCGGACUUAGCUUGCUUUAAUCAUUUCGAAUUUGAACCCCCAUUUCAUUUUAUAGGAUCUUCAUUGCUUGCUGGAACUAAGUUCCAUACAAUUAUUUUUUGAAUGUUUUUCCCUUAUGUUUCGUACUCAGCACUGCAUUAUCCCUCCAGUUUAAAAUAACAGGGCAGACGCUUUUUACAAUGCUUUUUUUUUUUGUAGUGCUAGUAACAGGGGAACCGAAGCUAAGUAACUACUAUCCUCCCUCCAGUUAAAAAUAAAUGUCGUUGUGGACAUCAACAUCAUUAAGGCAUAACUACUGAUUAAAGUUGUAAUAUAUUUAUAAAACAAAGCAAAUAUAUAGUAUUAUGAAACUGCUUUUUUAUAAAGAUUACUCAAGCCAUUUUGUUAACAAAUAAUCCAAACUAAACACAUGAAAAGUGAUUGUAGUCAAAGUUUGGAAUUGGUUGGCUAUCUGCACGCAACCCAAAAUCGACACUACACUUAUUUGUGACUGAAGGUAGUAUCACGGAACAGAUAAGACAAGCAGGGAGACUGGAGUUCAAACCCCAAGCCCGGAAACUUGCUUAGACAAGGUUCUUGUAUUAGUCAAAGUGCUCUCGUAGUGCUACUGCUCGUGGCGAUUAAUCAAAACAAAGCGACCAAGUACCGAAGAGGACAGUGCAGUUCAGUACCAAACACUCUCGUCAUGCAUUGCAUGUAUCUGUCCUAGCAUCAUCAGCAGCAGCAGACAACACACAAUGCCCGCAGUUACACAGAGAUGAUUGGCACACACCGAGCUGCCUGAGGUAGCAUCUCCCUUCUUUCUCCCAAGUUCCCAUGAAUUGAACCAUGCAUGUUAGGCUGCCUGAUCCCCGAUGCCACGCGUGUAUUUGACUGAGCAAUCAUUAUUAACAUAGUAUAUGGGUACACAGUUACUGCAUGCCUGAAGCACUGUCAUCAUCUGGCUAAUUUACUGGAUGGGAUCGAUCCCUGUGUGUUUCUGGGGAUUGGUAGCUGCAGAUGACUGUCAGUAGAAGCAGUAUAGUGUAGUAUAUGGAAGAUUCAAGGCUGAUCAUCAAAGCUGACAGGCACAUGCCUGUUGGAGCAAAAACUGACAAGUACGAGAGCAGAGCCCCUUGCAAAAAGGGGAGCUGAUCAGCUGAGCUGAGCUCCUGGUGACUAUACAGGGGCGGUAGCCUGUCUGGCUGCUGGCUUCUACAGUCCACUACGCUACACCAUUGAUUUCUAGUUUUUUUUUUUACAGUGCCUCCUCCCUCCACAGGAUGGAUGGAAGAAUGAAUGAUGAACGCAUCGUUUCGGCUCAGGCCACUUGUGCAUGCGUUGGUUGGAACAAACAAAUGGAGAUUCUCUCUCCCCCUCUCCCUCUCUCUAUCUCUCUAGAAGAGUCACCACCGGUAUGCAUGAUGCAUGCAUACGACCAACAAAGGUAGCUACAUACCAACCACUCCCUGCAGCUGCAUGAUCGACUGCAUGUUGGUAGAAGGAAUGGACGGGCCGGCCGGCGCAUCAGUGCAUGUGUAUACCAGUCGUCAGUCGACAUGAUCAACCAACCCAACCGGUAGACGGGUAGAGUAGUGUGUAACUGUGUAUUGCUAAGAAAUGAACGGGAGAGAGAUGGUGAGAUGGAUAGGGUCGUCGCGUGUAGAGAGGGAGAGAGGGUAGCGUCUAGCGUGCGUGCCGUACGUAGAGGGGAACAGUAGGGUCGUGCGGGUGGCAGAGGCCUGGUGGCGACGUGUCGCCGCCUGCCCGCACGGCCCUGCUGCGCCAGGCGCAGGCUCACAGUGCCAUACGGCGCGCACGCGCGGCCGCGGGAGGGAUAAGGUUAUUACGAGAAGCGAGGCCGCCGCCCGCCGGAGCCUGCAGUACGAGAAGACGUCGAUCGCGCGGGCAGGGGCAGGGGCAGGGGCAAGCCGCUCGACCACUCCCCUGCUGGCGCCUCGACUCGUCACCGCCGGCCCGCGCGGCGCCGCUCCCGAGACGUGCCCGGCCGCGCUCGCCAUGUUGCCCGCCGAGCACCCAGCCGAUCGCCGCCGGCGCCAUACCGUGCUUGCUAGCUGUGUACCCCGGCCGGCCCCUUUACCAACUAAUCUCUGCUCCUGCUGCCCUGGCUACCAAAUGCAUGCGCGCGGCAUCUCUUUUACAACAUACCACUUUGUUCAAGAGCUAGAAUGGAUUUAAUUAGAACGCGAGCAACAUGCUUCUCCAUUUACAAAAAAAAAAAAAAGAAUUGUUGGACCGCUUCGUGCUACAAGUUUUGUGAAAAAAUCUUUGUUUCCAAGCUGUGGACGAGCAAGCUGCUUCUCCAUACUACUGGAAAGAAGAAAAGAAACACUUGAUGAGUUGAGUAUACGUUACAGUGCUGAUCGGUAGCGAUCAAGCAUGCUCCUGUGGAUGUGGGGAAUGUCACGAGCUACGACUAUGACCAACAAUAAGACAGCGAGGUGAUUGUUCACUCAUGAGAGCGGAACGCGUGUGACAGCAUGUGUACUACUAGCACCGGUGAAAAGCAGCGAGACUUUUUCCCCUCCUGGGCUCCUGGCAGUGGCAGAGCACCAGACCCAGGUGUCGUGUGAGGGAUGGGCAGCGCCAAGUUGAUCUUGUUGAUGGGGGCCAUGGGGAGUAGAAGGAUAGACGGGGUCGGAGCACUGUUCACGCAGAGCACAUGAUGGGGGAGAAUCCUCCGCCGGCCGGGGACGUGUCAGGCCGCGCGGCCGGUCGACUCACGCCCUCCCGAAAUGGCAACAAAGGACCGUGUUUGGUUUGCUUUGGAAUGGCAUUUGCACGGGGGGCAACGUUACCUUUCGUCCUCUUUUCGCCAUGAGAGGAACCCAACAAAAUUGGAUGCUAGGUUAGGUGAUCGAGCCAGCAAAUGCUCUGAGCUCAACUUCUCUCCUUUUUUUUAGAGAGAGUGGGAGAGAGAAAUGCUUUGGGCUCAACUGACGAGUAUCCUCGUUAAUCCGCAUAGAAUGAACAGGCAAGUUUUGCGAGCAUUUGGGCUGUACGGACAGUGCCCAAUUCCUAGUGCAGCACUACUACUCAUCAAGGAGUCAAUGGCAAUGGCUGCAGCCAGAUCCUACGUAGCUUUGAUGGAAAGCCCACGCUUGGAAAAGUGAGCAUUAGUCCCGGUUGGAGAGAGUCAUAUCUCUCGAAUAUCCAACUGGGACUAAUCUUUCAGAACUAAAGGUCCCCGUCUUUAGUCCCGGGUCACCCUCUUUAGUCCCAGUUGAUAAUACCAACCAGAACUAAAAAACCUUUUUUUUCUUUUUACCCUGAAUUCUUUUCCAUAUUAAUGCUAAUUGUUGCUUCACUUAUAUAUGUAUACAUAUAUGUAUACAUCCUUAGCCUACACUAUUUACAUGUAUACACUCGUAUUAUAUGCAUGUCGUAUAUAUAUUUCAUGAUAAUAUAUGUAUAAUAUUAAUUAUAACUACUAUAUAUACAAUUCAUAGUAUAUUAUACACAUUAAAUUAGUAUUUAUACAAUUACUAUGUAUACAACAAUUUGUCCUCUUCGUUCUUAAGAUCCUCCCGUCGUAGUGUUGCUCGGUUCGGCUAUUGAAUGUCCAUCGUAAUAAAAUUAUCCUUUGUGAUUUAUCACAUCGUCCACCAGAAAUCCUUUGAGAGCUUCUUGGAUUGCCAAAAGCCUCUCCUUCUCAAGAGUUCUUCUCUGAUUCGCAUCAUCUGUAAUUUGGAAAUAUGUGAAUGCUACACCAACAAUUAAUAUAAGGAGCUAGAAAAUGAUUAAUUAUUAAUAGGUUUAUUUUACGUACAGUUAUAUCGUCCGAUAUCACCUUGUCCCUCAUGAAAUGGUACAUGUGCUCACAGAUGUAGUAUCCACAUAAAUUAUUCCCUUGUUCUGUCUCAAACACUUUAGUGGAAAAAAAUAAGUUAUGAAAUAUUCGUGUUAUACAAUCUACAUACCGAGAAUGUUGUAUUGAAUGUAAGUUUUUCUUUGAAAUCACCACAGCGAUGCUUACGAAAUCAUUUCCAUGCGCUACGAAUUAAAAUAAUGAAUGAUAUAGUGUUAGGUGAAAAUUUAGGAAACAAAUUUUUGCAUAGAGAUAAAGUUCAAAAUUAUUACAAGUUAAGCAUGUCUUGAAUGUCUUGGUACUCGUCCUUGGGUUUCCUCAACGAAUCAAACACAAUAACGUUGCUUUUAUCAAUCAUAAUUACAAGGAGAAUCCAAUAGAAACUACGUACAUAAAUAUUUAUAUUAGAACUAACUAACAUUAAUUAGGUUAGGAAAGGACAACAAAAAUAGACGGUACCAUACUUACUUAAAGUUGUAAGGCAGUAGUAUGUAUUGCUUGUAAUUUUGUUGCUCCAAGAAUCUGUAUAUUCGGUCCAAUGUAGGCUUUGGUUCAUCCCAUAUCUGCCCUUGGUUAACAAGCGCUGGGUCCAUGAAGCCAACGUUGAAGUACGAUUCUCGACGGCACCUCUAAAUUUGCAUCAUACAUAAAAUGAAAGACAAAGUUAGUGGGAUGACACACACACACACAAACAAUAAUGAUAUGAGCCCAAAUUAACAACCAAUAAACACACACUUAUAGAACCCAGGCGCUGAUAAGAGAGGCAUCAAGGGCAUAUUGAUGGUACACUUUAUAAAUAUCCUUGAAUUCCAACCACAACAGUUGCUCACCCUCACCGAAAUAAUCAAUCGGUUUAACAAGAAGAGUGAACGUGGUCCUUUCCUUGGUCGAUUGCUCCAUGUACCACUGAUGGAAUUCAUACAUCUUAGUUGAGAGCUUUCAUACCAAUUCAGGCCUGACUAGAGACUUGCCUAACUCAAAGGGCCAUUUAGGUGCAGUCUUUUCUGAAGGUGGCAGUUCGGCUUGCCCUAGAACUUCAACAAGCGAGAGAACUGUGUCUUCCAUAAACUUAAUGACCUAGAUUUGUUGUUCUAAAGGCAAAACUACUAUAGCUAGAGCGUCUUUAUCUGCUUGUUGAUCUUGCUGCCCAAGCUGGGGGAUAGUACGACUGGACGAUGACUCCUUGUUUUUUCUUCUAAUAAGACUUAACUAAUGAACGAUCGUAGUUCGAUAGUAACGUAUUCUUGACUUUUUUUUCAUGCCAAUAAAAAUUUUAAUUUGGCUGGAUCGACUGGCUUAGGCUCCAUCUCCUUCGCUUUUCUUUCUGCAACUAUUUUUUUCAACCACUCCCUUACAUGUGCUUGCGAUGCCUGCUCCAAUUCCUCAGGAGUCAUAUUGCCUGCUAGCUUCUUAAUAGGUUUAUACUUCUUUGGUUUCUUCGUCGGUUCUUUUGCCUUUGGCUGCCUUGGCUUGGAAGGCAGUGGUUGCGACUUCUUGAGAGGUGCUGCAGGUGAUUCCUUGCUCGCACCAAACUUUAGUCCCGGCGCCACAGAUGGUGAUCGGGGAGGGGUGUUUGGGUCAUCAUCGCUCGCACCUCUAGGAUUUGUUGGUGCUGGAGAUGGUGAUCGAGCAGGAUGCGACGGUCCCGGUGGUGACGACGGUCCUGGAGGUGCAUGUGCUGGAGAUGACGGUCUUGAGUUCUUAGGAGAUGGUGGCUAUGGGGGAUCUAUGGGAAGAAAUGAUGCCUCCUGAUCGGGGAUGAUGAUGUAACGUUUAUGCCAUAGAAUGAUACCGUGAAGUGCAUCUCCUAGUGUCCUUUCCCCGUCACCUCCCAGGAGGUCAAGCUCUAGGCCUUCAUAUUGACUAUCACAAAUCUGCUCCACCCCAAUUGUGGAGUAGCCAGGUGGAAUCGUCAUACCAUGGCUUGCCUGUCCUGGCAGGAUUGGUAAAGCACUUCCAUACACCACCUAUACAUAUAGGAGAAAUAAAGAAGUUAUUAAAUUUCCGAGGCAUGGAUCAAUUGAGAUAAUUGUAUGGUAUAUAUGCAUACCUUAAUUGUGAGGUUGUCAAAUGGUCUGUAUAGCUCACAUGAGGUGCGUUGAGUGAUGUCAUCCACAUGGUACCGUUGGUUGUUCUGCACAACCACAAGUAAGCUUGGCAUGUUCUCAUCAGGGACCCCUGUGGAAGCAUAGCUACUUCGGCGUUGAGAAGGGCUAACGAUGAUAUUGGGAUCCAAUAGUGCUCCACAUUAGGCCAUCUCAGUAACUGCCAGAGCCACUCACCAAUUAAUUUCUUCUUGCAUUCUUAUGUCUUGUUCAUGCACUUUAGUUUCUAACAUGCGCCGCCACCUCUUAUGCAUCCUUUCUUCUCUUUCAGCUUUUGUACGUGUUGAUGUCCCUACGAAAAGCAUACUUCCACGGAACCACAUCGAAGCCUCGGCAACGUCCUGGGUGUUCAGGAUUCCCGAUUGCCAAAGUCAGCUCAUCAUUCUCUCUAUCAUGCUUGAACUUUCCUACUUUAGAAUCUUUAAUGUUUUUGAUAAGCCUGAGGCCCUUCUCACUAUUAUUUCGUUGAAAACAAGUGUCCCAUCCUCAGGGCUAAGGGUGCCCCCAUGAGCAUAAUACCAAUUUUUCGAUCGAUUGGGCCAGUCAAUAAUCACUGGUACGAUACCUCGAUCGAUUAGGUCUUGUUCCAUCUUUCUCCAUCUGGGAAUUGCAUUCCUGUAACCACCUUGACCUAGACGAUGAUGAUACUCCUUCUUCUAGGCAUUGCCUGAGUUGACAUGAACCUUGUUCGCACUAUCUUCACUCCUCUUGUAUUCCAGAAAUGAGCUCCAGUGAUCUCUUAACUUUGGCUAGUCAUUAAAAUCUAGAGUUCGGCCCUAUAGUUGGUAUCCAGAUUUUUCUUGAAGGUCUAAAAUUAGGUCGCCAUCUUCUUGAGCGUUCAGUCUUUCAUAACUUUUUCAUUAACGUCGUCAAGAAGUGUGAAGUGUUUCUUGACAUCUGCUCACAACAUAUCUUUCUGUGUCUGUGGGAGCACGUAUGGAUCAUUUUUUUACUGGACUUCCAUUCUCGAAUGUCGUGGGCACGUUGUCCCUUACAAUAGCCCCACAUUGACUUUUGGAGCAAGUGCCACAUUUUUAUAAUAGAAGUAUGGUGGCACAAUAGCCUGUCCAGGCAAAAGAUUUGUUCACUAAACAUGGCACAUUUUGGCAAGCCAAAACCAACCAAAAAUUGAUGGAUUAAGGUCAGUGAACAAAUCUCUGCCUAAACAGGCUGUUGGGCCCCCAUACUUCUAAAAAUAUGGCUCCAAAAAGCGUUUGGAAAACUAUUUCAAGAUUCUUUUAUGAUAUUCAACUAGAGUUUGUGAACUCGAAGUUCUUCUGUUCUACCAUUAUUUUAGGAUUCUUGACUCCGUGAAGUCCACUAUGGAGCGUGUGUAGUCUUUAGUGUAUCUUUGCUGUCCUGUUCCACAAUUCUAGCAUUAAGUUGACCGGUGUAAUUUUCAUGUCACUCUAAUUUAAUAUGCAAACUAUCCCAAAAAAUUGUAGCAAUGACCAAAUUCUAUUUCUUACACCUACAAUUUAUUUACCUCUAUUUUAUUGCACUGACUAAAUAUUAAAAACACAUUUACUCUAUUUUUUCCAUACCUAAUAUUGAUCAAGAUAUUUAUCUAAUACGAAUCAUAUAUAACAAGCUAUCCAUCAAAUUCUAGCUCAAAAACAUGUAUAAAUAAAAAAUCCUCUCCAUUCCCCUCAUUCUAAAAAACUCAUUUUUCUCUAUCUCUAAAGCAUAAAACAAAGCAUAAUAAUAAUAAAUGAAUGGAGGAUGAAGUAGCUAACUUUUACAACACUUUGGGUGAGUGAAAUCCCCAACAAAUUGAAGAAAAAAAAUCAGGCAGGAUCUUCCUAAGCUUGCUUGGUUGCCAUGGAGAAGGAGCCCGAAGCUCUCGGUCUGAGUGGCUCGGGCUCGGGGAGGAAGAAGCUGAUUUUUAUAGGCGAGGCGUUUAGUCUCGGUUGGUAAGGCCGUUCAUUUAGUCCGGGUUGGAAUUACCAAUUAGUCCCGGUUGGUAAAUCUAAGCGAGACUAAAUGGAUAGCUUUACCACUAGUCGUUACAACCAGAACUAAAGAGGAUUCUUUAGUUUCGGUUGAUAUUACCAACCGGGACUAAGGGGGUGUUUGGAUCCCCGAGCUAAAUUUUAGUCCCUGUCACAUCGAAUGUUUGGACACUAAUUAGGAGUAUUAAACAUAGGCUAAUUACAAAACCAAUUUCACAACCCCUAGGCUAAAUCCCGAGACGAAUCUAUUAAGCCUAAUUAGUCCAUGAUUUGACAAUAUGGUGCUACAGUAAACAUUCGCUAAUGAUGGAUUAAUUAGGCUUAAUAGAUUCGUCUCGCGAUUUAGCCUAGGGGUUCUGCAAUUAGUUUUGUAAUUAGCUCAUGUUUAGUCCUCCUAAUUAGCAUCCGAAUAUCUGAUGUGACACAGACUAAACUUUAGCUCCAGGAUCCAAACACCGGAUAAAACUCCUGUCGUCAGUGGCCGUUUGACCCUGGAUUAAAGAUCCAUUAAUCCCAUAUCCAAAAGGCAUCAAAAUAUACGUUAGAUAGCGGUGCCAGACUGAGGGCAAACAUCGUUUGUUUGCAUGGCUACUUAUUCAGAGCAGGUUGUUAACAGCCGACGAGCUCUUGGCACGAAGCUGGCCAUGUGAUCCUAUUUGCGCAUUAUGUCAGCAGGAGGCUGAAACGGCAGCGCACCUGUGCCUGCACUGUCACUAUGCAAAGGAUGUUUGGGAGAGAAUUAGUGAGUGGACAACAAAUCUGGUUAAUGUGCCUGCUGCAGGAAUAGAUGUGGGCAAGUGGUGGACCGAUGAGCUUCAAUGGCUACCGCACAAAACUCGAAGACUGAAAGCUGCGAUUACGAUGUACACGGCGUGGAAUAUCUAAGGCGAGGAAUCGAAGAAUAUUUGAAGGGUGGUCUGCAGGUGGCGGUGUUCAUUAAGCAGGAAAUGGAGCUCACGCGGCUCGCCAGGAAUAAUUUAGUUUUAAUGUUAUUGCAUCCUAGUUGUUUUGAUCUCAUGAGUUUAAUUUUAAUUAUGUAAUAGAAACAUAUAUGUAUCAGACUAUAUUUCUUCUUCUUAAAUGAUACGGCAGUUCUUAAGUGAUACGGCAGUGAUCAGGUUUAAAAAAAAUCCUAUCGUAGCUUGCUUGCUUUAACUGUACGCUGCAGCACUCUAGCAGUGUAGCGCAGGCUACACGAGGGGCAUGGCUGCUGUCUGGGUUAAGACAUGUUGACUCCUCGGGAAACAACAGGCUAGAGGCCUGGGCUGAGCUUGACAGCUUCAUCUGGCCAGCCACUGGAUCUCUCUCAUAAUCCAGGGAAAAGACACGUCGAGCAGGAAGUCUGCAACUCAGAGGAAAGGGACCGGGGCGGACAGGUCUUGCCCUUCAUGUGACUGGUAGAAUAUAUGCAGUAAAAAGACGCGCGAGCAUUUCCUUUGACUCCUACAGCUGAAUGGGAAGCUGAUGAUCAUCUGCAUAUCAUGAUAUAGCACAGGGGAAACUAUUCAGUGUACAACAAUAUUGACCACUGAAUUCAAUUGUACAAUCUGGGAAUUCCCAUGUAAGUGUAUCAUUGUACCCUCUUGCAUACAGACACAGAGGAUCGUUGCUAAGCCCUGCCCUUUGCAGCAAAUGGAACGUCCAGUGCUCAUAUGACUGGCAGAGUAAGCUUACAAUGCUCAUUGGUUCAGAUGGGAACAAAAAGGAAGGGAUGAUUGCUUGUCCCCCUUUCUUUUGGGGUACAAGGCCUGCCUGCUUGUAGCUUCCUAAUACUAGUUAACGAAUCAUAGUGAUUUCAUAUUUUCCUUCUUUGACUUUUUCUGGGGGCAUGGAACCAUCAGCAACCUGCAUUCAAUUAGGAAAACACUCAUCAGGUAUACAAAAUGCUGUGUGCAGAUGAGUAUCCACAGUAAUAUUGUUGUCAAUAUAAAUAAAUAAAAUAGCACGAACAAGCAGAAAUAUUACAUCUAGAUGGUAUCUGCUAAAGGUGAUUGUGCAGAUAUCAAACUAUUUUCAGAUAUAGCAAUGUCCAGUGAUCUAAUCUUGGGCAUGAGAACACUAUAAGUGGACAGGGGCUAGAGAUAUUCCCAAGCUUCACCUUGAAGCCACAGAGACCGGAGUUUGAACACUAUGGACCAUCUACCUACUGAAGUUUCCAUUGUGAACUAAGGUGACACUCUGACAGCAACUCAAACCUCUAUGAUUUACAGGUAGUUCUGGCAAUGGCAUAGUGGCUUAGUUUCAGUUCAUUGCACUAUCCACCCAACAAUUUCUUUUACAUGAAAGAGCAAGGGGAAAAACCUAUACUGCAUUACCUUUGCCCUUUUUCUUUUUAUUUUUCUUUUUCUUCUUUUUCUUGCUCUGUUGUUCGUCAUCUUGAUGGGCUUUAACCUUCUGAAAUAUACAAAUGACUAUGUCAGAUACAACUCGAUGAACCUUUGCACACAUAAACCGACUGGAUAUAUCCCAGUUAAAAUCCAAUGGACAUUUUAAGUGAAUAUUCAGGAGACAUACCUUAUUCUUCCUUUUUCUUUUGAUCCCCUUCACCUCUGCUUCAUCUUCAGAAUCCUGUUGCUUUAGAAGUUAAAUGCUGAAUCAAUUCAGGACUCAUUUAAGAAAGCUAUAAUCAACAAAGGUACCUCAGAGCCAUCCUCAAAUGAUGACACAUGACGUACUACUCUUCCUGAAGUUGAAGCCUCACCUGCAUCAGCAAUAUAAAGUCGUUAAGAUGCAAGUCCAAUACGAUUCCAAGGGGGUGUAGGUCAACUUUGCUGCUUCGCAGAUACAUGAGAAGUAAUAACUGGGCAAUCAUCAUGAAUGACAAAACAGUGAAGGAGGUUUGCCACAAAAAUAUUAUCUUAUAAGCAAUUCAAUAUUAAGCAAAAUGUUGCCACAGAUUGAUGGUAAAACGGCCAAAUCAAUCUAGUGUCAAGUCUGAAUUUUGCCUUUACUGUUUCAAGCAUACAUUGUUAUAAAGUCUCACACAAACUAAAAUUACAGUACGUGGCAGUCUCAUCCAAGUUUUCUCCAUGUGGCAAAAUAAUUCAUUGUAUCAUAGCAAAACGAUUGAACAGUCAGUACGAACAAACACUUCAAAGCAUGCAAGAAACUGAAAAAUGGAUGAUAACUGUAGGAAGAGGUUUAUUUCAUACUCCUAUGUCGUACCUAAAAAUGCCACAUGGUACAGAAGGAAAAUGAGUAUACUGAACGCCUACUAACGUCACAUCAUAUACUUCAUAAAGAGAUAAUUCAUGUGAUGCAUAUUUUCCAAAGUGCAUAUAGAGGAAUGGGAUAUUGGGAGGAGAAGUGUACCCUUGCUAGCUUUCAUGGUUUCCUUUGCAUUUUUCACAGCCAGUUUUACAAGGUCAGGGUUCAGGGAAUCCAAGCCAUCGGGUUGCUGAAGUUUUCUCUCAAGGAAUUUCGCUAAGGCAGCAGCCUUGUUUGUGGUUAGUGGUCCCCCGGGAUGCGCCAUCCUAUUUGAUAAAGCAAUACAUCAUAACGUUAUGCACGUUACCAAAAAGAGAUACGCAGGAAAUAUCAUAUGAUUUUCGCAGAGUGAUAUUAUUAAAGUAAUUAGACUUAUAUUGCCAGUAUAAAAUCUGCCAAAGUCUCUAUUUCAAAAGGCAGCACCUUGCAACACUCACUGCCUUGCCCAGCACCUAGGCAUUUUUCCAUCAGGACUUGGUCUAAGACUAAGUAUGAAAGUAGGACAAACAUAGAUAUGGAAAAGGACGAACUAUGGUCAUGGAACUUAUGGUUGCAAGAUAAUAUCAAAUUAUGUCUAAGUAUACCAAUGCUUCUCUACUUAACAUGGCAUUACUUUAGCAGCUUGUGGAAAGUACAACCGCCCAGUCUCGCCAAGGGUACACUUAGGCGCUACGGGAGCUUGACCGCUUGCCUAGCGCCUAGCGCUUUUUGAAACAUUAGCCAAAGCUCCACUAAGGCGUAGUGGAACCCUAAGGCGUGACAGUAAUGUGAAGAGAGGCAGAGGAAGACCAAAAUUGACAUGGGAAGAGGCAAUAAAAGGAGAUUUGAAGGGAUGGAAUAUACCUAAAGAUUUAGCCUUGGAUAGGAGUGCUUGGAAAACAGCUAUUCAUGUGCCCGAACCCUGAUUUGUGGCUCUUGGGUUUCAACUCUAGCCUACCCAACUUUCUUGGUACUGAAAGGCUAUGUUGUUGUUGUUGUUGUUGUUGUAGCCAGAGCUCCACUAUAUGUUUUAUGAGGUACACAUUCAGCUUGCUCUUCUGUUUUUGUUGUUUUGGUGUAUAUAUGUAAAAUAGCAUUGCAUUGAAUCUCCUGAGUUUGUUCUGAUGCGAAUGGUUAUGUUCAAGGGUCAAGCAGAGUGUAUGUACCUAUAUCAGUAUCAUGAACAAAAGGGCCUGAUUAUUGAAACUAACAUAAAAAAUUACAGCUCCCCAAACUACGAGUACAAAAUUACACGGAAGUAUUUUAAACACGUAAUUUUAUAUCUGACCUAACCAAGCAGCUAAACUGCGAUUGGCGAAACCUUAAUCCGCACCUACAGCCUUCACUCUCAUUUUGCCACAACAAAAUCAAGCUAAAUCCAGUUGCCGCCGCAAGCGCGACAGCACGAUAUGAUCGAAUCGGGCUAUCUGUGGAUCUGGACGCAGGUAACAGAGAUGGGGGCGACGCGAUACCUGGGCUGGGGGCGGGAGGUGGAAGGAGGCGGAGGAAGCGGCGCGAACUUGCUGCCCCGCAUCGCCCGCCUCUCCUCAUCGGAGAGGUCGCCGCCGCCGGCCGUCGCCAUGGCGCCGCCGCACGGGAUGGUAAGCUGCAGGCAGGAUGACGACUUGAGGAAGAAGGAAGCGCGACCGGCUCGGGUCCGUUGGGCUAUUGCGAUCUGGUCUGGUCGGACCAUGUAUGCAGCCGGGCCGGACCACCGUGCGAGCUCGAGGCGUCGAGCGCCCGUGUGGGCGUGUGGCCUCUGUAGCCUGCUUGGCCGCAUGUAUCUCCAUGACAUGUGGGCCCGCGAUACUGAUUGUUUGUAAUCGUGCGGCCAUGCGCGGACACUGUAACAAUUUGGCUAACCCCUUUUUGCUAACCGGCCUUUUUUCACAGCUAGUAGUCUAGUACUCCGUAAUUGGCUAGCCGGAUUUGUUCAGAGCACAUUCGACAAGAAUAGACUGGUACCACCAUCCAAAGAGCGUCAAAUUCUGAGAAAAUUCCUUAUUUGUUAUCGGAUUUACAUCGCUUCCUUAUUUGCUUGAAAAAGUUUGCCUUCCUUAUUUACCAAUACCUCAAAAUUGCCUUCCCCAUUCGUCAUCAACGUAAUUGACUCAAAAAGAUGGUUUUACCCUUAUAAUAUAGGAACAUAUUGCAUAUGCAUGGCAUCAACACAUCCUUAAGAAACAUUGGGCUGAUAUGGAGGAUGCAAAACCAGUUGGAUACAAAUUUUACAAUAGAUGUGUCCCUAUGUCAUGAGGGUAAAAAUAUCUUUUCGUGUCCAACUUAACACCGUUGAUGGUAUAUAGGGAAUAAAUUUUGCGUCGAUGGCAAAUAAGGAACACAAGUUUUUUAUGGCAAAUAAGGAAGCGACAUAAAUUCCAAUAGCAAAUAAGGAAUUCUCUCCCAAAUUCUCAGGACAGAACAGUUUAGACAAAACAAAAGCACGUACAAAGAAUAUUGCUCAAAUCUGUAGCCAGGCUAACGCUUGAUUACCAAUUUACCGUGAUGACUACAGUAGUCUAUUUACAAGGUUACCGAAGCUGCAGAGUUCAAACGGUGGCAACCGGCCGACUCGGCUCUGUUUUGUGCUUCCUCACAGUCACACCUCGGUGAA
rnacentral:lncRNA from 1 species